rnacentral:lncRNA from 1 species
AAUAGAAAACCAUUGAAGAGAGGAGAGAUGGUUGCGGAGACGGCUCGAUAGUCUUUCUGUGUUUCUCAAACCAUAUAUGUGAAGAGAGGUUAGAGAGGAAGGAAAGAGACUCGAAGCAUCCUUAUCCUCCAAAGGAAACCACUCCUUCUCUCCCUCCCCUCCCAUGUUAAACGCAACGGUCAGACUCUCGAGAGAUGUGAGCAGGGGUAAGCCCCACUCUCUCACUGGCUGCUUCGGAGCCACGAGCCCCAAAAUUCCAAGGUCUCGCAAUUUGGGAGGCAGACCUCCUUUGGGGAAGCAUUUGAUAUUUUGGCAAUUGAAAAUUAUUAGCUUUUGGAGGGAGGUAAGAUGAUGCCACUUAUUUGGCAGGGACUUUAUCAUCGGACAAGCCCAAAGUUCAAGACUCUGCAGGGUGAUGGGAAGGGGUGGGAAGUCCUCUAUCUCCAAUACCGGACACUCCCAUAUAACCAAUUUAGUGAGAUUGUUACAGUUGGCAAUGUUACAGUUGGCAAUAGACUUUAUCUUAGAACAAUGUUUAAGAUCAAGACUCGAGAGGGUGACGGGAAGGGGAGGGAAGUCCUCUAUCUCCAGUGCUGGACAAUUAACAAUAUCCAAUUGAGUGAGAUGGGAGAGCGUGUGAAGGCAUUGUGGUAAGCUUCCCAGAUUUUGACAAUUGUUAAUUGUCAUUGUUUCAAGCGAUUCUACGGCAAUCCCUUCCAAUGACUCCACUCCCUCACAAUUGUCUAUAUGAAGUGCCUUCAGAGGAGCAAGUCUACCCUUGGCAAAUGAAAAGGAUAUUGGAGAAUCAUAAUGAUGUAUCUUAAGAGAUUCAAGUUGAGAAAUCGAAUUAUCGCUGCUCGAGUCACCUUGAGGAAUGUUUAGAGCCAUGAUUUUUGGACAAUUUUCAAUCACCAAAUGUUUGAGUGCGUGCAUCUUGCUUGGAAGAUUUUCUAAACUUGUGCAAUCCACCAAUUCCAUCCUUUCAAGAUUACAGGGUAGCUCUAUCUCUCCGUCUCCUGCCACAAAAGAUAUGAAUUGAGGACAAUUCUUUAUUACUAAUUCCUGGAGGCAAGUGAGAUUUUGCGUUUCAUCACCAUCUUGCCACAAGCAUGUUAGCUUGUCACACUGUCCUAUAUGAAGCUUCCUUAACUUGCCCAAGCAACUCAUAAACCGAUGAUCAAAGGAAACAAGCUCUCUGAGUUUGUUAAUUUGGAGAACCGUCAAAGAAGUUAGCUUGAACAAGCUCUUCAAGAUCUCCUUACUACAAUCCUCAAGGUGUAACUCUUCGAGAGAUGGAAGACAUAACUCACUGGUUGAGUUAUUCAAUUGUUGGCAUGAACGAAUUUCAAGUCUUAUAAGACGACUAAGUUGACAAGGCAAUGUCCCGACCAACGAAGGACAUCCUCGGACAACAAGAUGCUCAAGACAGGAGAAUGAGACUUCUUCUUUUGGGCCCCCCGCAUAAGGAGACCAAUCCUUCCAUGCCAACAUCUCUUGGAACUGCAAAGUAAUUAAGGACAAAAAAGGCCUAUCACCUCCAUAAAAAUUAGAGCCUAUUAUUCUUACUGCAUCUAGACCAUUAAGAGAUAAUUCUCUCAACGAAGGUAGUUGUCCAAGUGAAGGCAACGAUGUGACAUAAGGACAGUCCCACAAGCUCAAAGACACUAUCCGAGAAUAUGAUGAACCAUCUAACCAUGACGGCAAUUUUGCACCACCAUAGUUCAAAAUAGUGAGAUUUUCAAUAUCAAUGGGAGGUCGCAAAGACUCAAGCACUCGUGAUUCAUGCUUAUCAUUCCGAAAAAUUUCAAAAACUUCAUCCCAAUGCAAGAAUAAUUUUCUAAGGUCUUGCUUUCCUAACAAAUUAGCAUCAACAGCAUCUUUAACAUCUUCCACCUUUUGUAAUUCUGAUAUGAAUAAUUCUCCUUCAAGAUGCGACAAGUUCUUUAACUCCUUUAACUGUAGGCCCUUCUUUGUUCCUACCACAAACUUGGACAAGAUAGUAAGAUUCUUCAAAUUAUUGAUACUCAAUGGCAUCUCUUUUAGACUUUUUGUAUCUCUAAUAUCAAGAAAUUGUAAGCUGACUAACUUUGUGAUACCGUGAGGCAACUUUGAAAGCUGAUGACAACCUCUUAAGAUCAAAGCUUGUAAUUUGCACAAGUCGCCAAUUGACUCAGGUAACCUUUUGAUGUUAGUGUACGAGAGAUUGAGAUAUCGAAGAUGUUUUAAUUCACCAACACAAUUCGGUACCUCUACAAUGCUACAAUGACAUAAUGAAAACACCCUCAAAUACUUCAAGUUUGUUAGCAAGUCAUGCAACACCUUGUUGGAAAUAGAGAAUUUAUAUGGGCCCGGACUAGAUCCAACACUCACUAGAAUUAAACUUCUUAAGACCUUCAAUCCAUGAUAUGCUCUUAAGCAUUUUGAUGUAACAAGCCAUGGUGAGACGAAUGAUGCAUAACGAGCUCUCCCAAGAGAUGCAUCAUCUUCAUUAACUACCACCUGAGACUCCCCAGAGCUAAAGCAUAUUGCACCCUCGAUUGACUUUGCUAGAUCAUUCAAAAGAUCAUGCAUUGAAAACUUAGAUGUGUCAACACUUGAUUGUUGAAGAAAUGAUCUAGAUACUAACUCAUUGAAGUAACUCCGUCCUAAUUUCAACUUGUUUUUAUUUUUCUUUUGUCCAUCUAAAAAUCCUUCUGCUAUCCAUAGGAGUACGAGCUCAUCCCUCUCAAUUUCAUAAUCCUUGGGAAAUAUUGCACAAUAAGAAAAACAUCUCUUCAAAUAGGAAGGAAGAUGGACAUAGCUUAAUGUCAAAAUAGGGAGAACCUCAUCAUUCUCCGCCCCUAUUAUGUUGUUUAAGGUAUCUUCCCAUUCACUGGGAUUCAUUUUAUUACGUAGGGCACCGCCAAACAUCUUCGCUGCCAAAGGUAAACCUUUACAUCUUCUAGCUAUUUUCUCGCCAAUUGUUUCAAAUUCUGGGUGGUUCUUAAAAUUUGUUGCUUCAAGAGCAUGAAAGGCUAAUAAGCUUGUACAAUCAUCAAGGGACAAUUCCUCCAAAAGAUACGGCUGAGCUCUUGUCAUUUUAACAACAGCAAGGUUGCGAGUCGUAACAAUAAUCUUGCUUCCCCUAGCACCCACUACAAAUGGCUUUAAGAGGUCAGUCCAUUUUUCGUACUUCUCAUUCCAUAUAUCGUCUAGGACCACAAGAAACUUCUUUUCGAAAAGAUUGUCCCUCAACAUAACUUGAAACUCAUUUAGAUCUUUGCCCUCACAGGGCAACCCAAUGAUUGACCGCAAAAUAGUCUUUGUUAUGUCGAGAACAUCAAAAACAUCUGAAACACAAAUCCAUGCUCUCAUCUCAAAACAUCUAUCCACUCUAGCAUCAUUAUACAACUGUUGAGCCAAGGCAGUCUUUCCGAUACCGCCCAUCCCAACUAUGGGGACUAUGCUCAGCGUGGCAUUAGAAUUUUCGCCCUCAUUGAUCAAUAGUUUGAGUAUUUGUUCUACUUCCUUCUCCCUACCAAAAAACUGAGGCUCCGAUAGAGAAGUGGUUAUCCUUUUGCCCGUGUAGUUGGAUUUAUCCACAACAUUCUCUCUCAAGUUUAGAUGAACCUUUCUAGUGACAAUCGCUUCCAAUCGGCCAUUGAUCUCUUGUACCUUGGUUUCAGACAUGAGCAAGGGUGGUCGGUCAAAGUCAAAGAACUUACAUUUCCCUAAACCUUUGUUUGUGCUAGAUUCUGCCUCUGGCUCAACUUGAGCAGCUUUUAUCGCAAACUCAUCGAGCAAGUCUUCCAUGUCAUAGGCCAAGUCCUUAACCUUGUCCAGCCAUAGCUUCACUUGAUGGUUACCACUAAGUUGCUUGUUCUCUGCAUCAGCCAACACUGCAUUGAUUGUUACCAGCAUAUCCUUCCACUCCUCAAGCGAGACGGUGUUGAUUCCAUCUCGUUGUGCACAACGUAAUGCGGACGAAGUCAACUUGUCGAAUAGGACCUGAAAGGACGAAGCCAAAAAGGAACCCAAAACGAUCUCUCCGAUGGCCAUAGGUGAAUCAGUUACUGUAAAGAACAAUAAAGGUGUUAUGGUGAAACAAAGUGAAAAUGAGCUAAUGGAAAGAAAAAACUAUGAAGUCUAGGAAGACCAAGACGACGACCUAGGAAAAAUAUUUUAAAAAAGACCCAGACUUUCAAGGGAUGCACAUCAAAGGUUAGACAAAUAAAUAAAAAAAAAACUAUUUGUCCACGAGUGCUUGUUACGUCAUUUGCUCUCCUUAUUCUUCAUAUCAAGACUUUUUUAUUGUCAGACCUUUACUUUUGGCCAUCCAAAACAGAGUCUUAAUAUGACCAACUUAGAAUGUUUGCGUAUUUUCAUUAUAAGUGUUAUCCCUCACGAGUGUUCUGUUGGCUUUUUUAGCAUAUGUAUAUUCUUAGUAACCUUAUGAUUUCAAUGUCUUUGUUUGCUUUAUUGGUGAAUGUGAGAUUGAUGAAUUCUUUUACAUGGCAAUUACUAUGCUAAGGAUUCACAUCAAGAUGGGUGACAAUGAUUUGUUGAAGGGUGCUAAGGUAGUGUCGAGAAUCGCCUUGAUAGGAGAAUCGCAGUCCUUUGAACACGAUUAUCAAGUUCAUUAGUGUAAUGGGUAGAGUGUGACAUCUAGUAGAUUAUAUAUUGUUAAUACUGGACUCAUUUACCAUUUCCAAAGUGAGAGAAAGCAACUUGCUUGAUGGAUUAGCCGGUGUGCUUAUCCCUUUUUUCUUGUUUAGCGAUGAAUGGAAACACGUGCUUUGGGCUUAAUAAGAAAAAGGGUCAAGCACACUGACUAAUUCAUUAAGCAACUUGCUUUAUUUUACUAUGCAAAUAGUGAACAAGUCACAAAUCACCAAAUGACAAUGUAUAAUCUACUAAAAAUUAUACUUUAUUCAUCACACCAAUGAACAGGAAAAUCGAGUUCAAUGAACCAUGAUUCUCUUUCUAGGCGAUUCCCCAUCAUCGGUGACUAACUCAUCACCUUUCAGCAAAUAUUUUCGCCCAUCUUGCUUCAACUUUUUCUUUCACAAGUGGUUGUUCUGUAAUAUUUAGAGAUUAUCCCCGCACAUUUAUAGUUUCCACGAUCAUAUACUCGUUCGUGUAAAUAAAUCAUAAACUCGAGAAGACCAGAACUUCAGUGGUAUCAUGAACUUUUUUGUCGUGAAAGUGAAGCAAAAUUGGUAAAGAGCUGAUUGGAAAGAAAAUUUAAUAAAAUCCAGAAAGACCAAGAUUUACGGAGAUGCAAAUUGGAUUUAUCGCUUCACUUUUGAAAUCUCUCCUCUUCCAUUCCCAUGCGAAUGUCUCUUUUACAUUACUAGUAGACUUUCCACGCAUUACGUGGGUGCCGAUUUUUUCUUUUUUUGCGUGAUUGACAAUUGGCACUGAUUAUUGUUUCUCUUGCUCAAAUUAACAAACUAUAAUUUUAGUCCAAGUUUUGUCAUUUUUAAUCACAUCGUGAUUAGUCAUUCAUUAAUCUCUAUUGUACUUGUCUAUUGGAAUUGUGUCUAGAUUUCCAUUUAUCUUUUCAGAAUAUAAGUUUAAUAAAUGGAAAAAGAGCAAAAAGAAAAACUAAAUACAAAAAACAGCAAAAAACUGAUAAAGAAAAAAAAUGCAGGAAUGGGGUGAAAAUACUCUUCGUGACUCGCAGGGAGUUCCACUUCACAUUUUUGUUUCGUUUUGUUUUUUUUUUUUUUAUGAAGAUGCAAUCUAAAUUUAUUAAUAAGCAAGAUAUGAUUUUCCUAGAUUUCCCAAAUUAUAGCAUGUGAUUUAUGAAAGGGAACGUGCAAAAAGAGAAUUAAUAAUAAUGCACUCCAGAAGCCUAGAUGUGCAUGAUAAUGCUUGUCCAUGAAAAUUCCUAGUUUUCUAAUAUAAUUGUCCUGAUACGGAUAUAAUGAAUUAUAUCCUAAUAUGUAAUGAAAAAUCAUAAAAUAGAGGUCCAAAUUUUGGCUUAAACAAUUAUGCGUGCAGAUGUAUCACCUCAUUAAAACAACUAAGCCACAUUAAGAUCAACAAAUCACCAUGAAUUAUGCAGUCAAGCUGCAACUUUAAUCUGGCCAGCAAGUAUAUGACAUCAACUUUCCCCAAUUUUGCUAUUAAACUUGCUGCAUCAGUUCAAGGAAAAAGAGAGCAAGUAGAUAGAUGUCUUUUACCUAUCCAAGUAGACUUCCUGGAGCCGACCAGGCGAACAGGAUAAGAUCCACAACAGCAAUCCAGCAAGCACGAGCGCUAGGUUUGGCAGUUCACUGUGUACGCGUGCGUAUUCGGCUUCGGCAAUGCGUGGUUCGCUGCUUGCAACGACGAACGAUGGUAUUGAUUGAGCGACGACUAGAGAUGGUGGUGAUUGGCGACAAUCGAUGUGCAUGCAAGAAAUGAAUUGAAUGAGAGUGGAGUCUGUGGGCGUGAGUUUGAUGAUGAUGGUGGUGGUGAUGGUGGUGGUGGUGGUGGUGGUGGAUGAAGAAAAAGUGAGGCGGUGUGGCUUUAAGGAAACGAGCAAGAUAACCAGGAUGGAUUUUGCCGUGUGUGUUUUUUCUCUCGGCGGUUCUCCUUUUAUCAUUCCUUUUCUUUUCUUUUUUUCUUUUGUUUUUUAUUUGGGUACUAAAAUUCGAAAGAACCUAAUCCUAUUUGUCAAAUUCUGGUAUAUGCUUAUAAAAUGCUUUAAUUCCAAUAAACUUCUUUUUUGGGAGGAAAACCGAUUCCAAUUUUCCAAAAAUAUAUGAAAACCACUUUUGGGCAAAAGUUAGGUAUCAACAAGUUUUAUCAAUCAAAUGGUUAUUUCUAAGUUAUUUAUACUUAUUUUGGUAAGUCGAGGUUUCUUAAUUUUUAAAGGUGUGGAAUGGUCUGACCAAAAAAAAAAAAAAAGGUGUGGAAUGGUCAGAUGAGCCUUCCUAGGUGUAGCCGUAACGGUCUGCUUAUUGCUCACGUUUCGCCUCUCUUUGCAGAGGAAUGGUUGUGGAGGUUCAGACACUAGGAUUUGUAUCUGACUACUGCUCCUUUUCAGAUUUUCCAUCAUGUUCCUCUUUCGGAUCGAAUUGAGCCAAUUCCUCUUGUUUGAUCUAUUAAAGUAGUUUAAGGGUGCAUUUAUUUCAAAAAAACUUAAGGUUUGGAAAAUAUUUUCCGAAAAAUGAUUAGUUUUAUCAUUUAGAAAAAUUGACCAAUGAAAAAUAUUUUUCACUGUCAACAUUAAUUUAUACCUAACUAUUUCAGUAAAUGAUGAAUUUUUUUUAUUCAUUCAUUUUUGCGAGCAAUAAAUCCAUCAUUUUUUUCGAAAUUAUUUUCCAGAUAUUGAGUUUUCAAUGAAAAAAAUACAUUCUAAUUAUUUAAAUUUUUUAUGUUCUUGCAUUAUACAAAGUAAAAAGUAGAAAUCAAGUCAGUUCAACUUGAAGAGUCACCGAGAGAUUUUACUAGAGUGCAAACAAAUUUCAUGAUUCAAAAGAUUCGAUGGUUUUUGUUAUCCAUGCUUGCCAUGACUUCACUUUACCUGAGGAUGAGAGUAAUCAUGGAGGCUAUGUAUAUGCUAAAACAAUUAUUGGACCAUGCACCGAUAGUGACCAAAGAUCGGUCCCAUAUGAUAAAACAUAAUGAUGGAACUGGGAGGGCCCUGCAUUAGCCUUUUUUGUCACCAUAUCCAAUCAAGCAUAGCAUUAAGGACUUGAUCCUCCGAGGACAACACCAAACCACCCCCCCCCACUCCCCCAAAAAAAAAGCACUAAUUUUAAUUUCAUCGGCCAAUUAUUAAAGGCUGAAAAUGAAAAUGUUCAUCAUUUUUCAUUUGAAAAGAAGAGCACUUAAGACUCAUAUGGUGUUACUGAUUGUUAUCAUAAAAUUAGUCCACAGUAUUUCAAAUACUUUUAUCAAUCAUGUUUUAGAUAUCGUAGGUUCUAAAAAUUAACAAAAGUCGAGAAUCUAAGUAUGCAAGAGAGGAACAUGUAAUGCUUGUGGACACGGAACGACUCGAGGGUUUAACAAGAGAGAGAGAGAGAGAGAGAAAGCCAUCGUGUUUCAUCAAGUUGGAGUCUAGCAUGUCUUGCAUGAUCUCGCUUUCAUAAAGCAAAAUUCGUUUUUCUUUCUUGAGUGGAGAGACCAAAUCAAUUGGUAUGGAAAAUUUUCUACACAAUGGGUCUGGAUUACCUACAAUUUUAGAAUUUUGAGAACAAUUCAACCUACUUAUUCUAAGUAGCACACGAAUUAGUAUUAUGCCUUUCCUCUAAUAUUAUUUGAAGUGAAUUAGUAUUAUGCCUUAGUGUAUAUGGUAAUUGUAGUGAUUUUGAAGGAUCACAAUCAUGCACUAUUAGAAGCCCGUGCAUAAACAAUUUGAGACUUCAAUUUAGACCAUAUAAUGAAUUUGAAGCUGGUAUAACCGAAGGCUCGAAGUUAUGUCAAUCUCCAUCAUGACAUGGUACUCGUAGCAAAGAUUCUGCAGCUAGCCAUCUCGUGCCAACAUAUGCCUUCCUAGCAGCUCCUCGUGCAUCAAGAGGCCAAAAUCGUACGAAAGGAUUGCCGCUUUGUCAAUGUAGUUGAAACCUAAAUUAUUGAGGAUACGUCUAACAAUGGCAUCUUAUUUUCUUUUGUGCAUCCACAAGUCAUCAAAGACUGCUUGGUUUGUCUGUUUGAUAAGGAAAACAAAAUCACGUGCACUGGCAAAAAAAAAAAGGUCCUUUGUGUUAAACGACAUUCAAAGUCUUGAUCUGAAGAUAGUGGAGAACAAUCUAACUCAAGGACAUAAUGUGCAUCAAAUCAACGCUCUUUGGUCUAACUCAAACUUCUUGGCAUAUUAGGAAGAACAAGACUUUAUUGGGACCCAUCAACUUUUUUGUGUAAAAAGUGAAGCAAACGGGAAAGUGAUAAUGGGAAAGAAAUGUAAUUCCAGGAAGACCAAGACUUUGUAGGACGUAAAUUGGCUUUGUUAUUUCACUUUUCACAUCCCUCCUCUUCCAUCCCUACGUGAAUGUCCCCCUUUCCAUUAAUAGUAGAGUUUCCACACGUUACAUGUCUUUCUUAAAAUUAGUAUAAGAAAGAAGCUAAGAAGGGACCUAAAAAGAUCUCUCCAAUGGUCAUGGGUUUACCAAUCAUCAACAGAACAACGGGGGUUUUAGGUUCUGGCACAUAUAAGGUAGGUUUCAGGUUCUAAAAAAUUAAGAACUUAUCCCAACGAGUAGAUUCUAGAUUGAAGGUAGAACCUCUAAAGAACCUGAAACCGCUCCUCCCUUGUUUGUACAUUGGGAUCGGUAUCAGACUUCUAAUCCUAUCCAUAUUUUCCAUUACGUCUUUCGGAUUGAACUAAGCCAAUUCCUCUUGUUCUCUAUCAAAUAGUUUAACUAUUCAGAGGUUUUAUGUUCUUGCAUUUUACUUUGUAAAGAAUAGAAACCCGUCACAGUUCAACUUGAAGAGUCAUGGAGAGAUUUUUUAAGGUUCCAACCACAUUUCAUGUCCUAAUAGAUUUGAUGGUUUCUCUUAUUCAUCCGUCGCCUUACUUCAGUCUACUCAAGGAUGUGGGGAAUCAUAGAGGCUUUGUAUGUGCUAAAACAAUCAUUAGAUCAUGUUCACCCAUAGUGACCAAAGAUCAGUCCCAUAUGUGCUAAAACAAUUGAUGGAACUGGGAGGGCCUUGCGUUAGCCUUUUUGGUCGCCAUAUUUAAUCGAACACAGCAUGAAGGACUUGACCAUCCGAGGACCCCCAUGCGAGCGAAAAGUUGGGGUCUAUCAUGUCCUGCAUGAUCUUGCUUUCUUAAAGCAAAAUUCGUUCUUCCUUUUUGAGUGGGGAGUAGGAAAAUUUUCUACACAAUGGAUCUGUAUUACCUACGAUUUUAGAAAUUUGAGAAUGAUUUAACCUACUUAUUUUGAGUGAGGGCACAAAUUAGUAUUAUGCAUUUCCUCUAAUAUUUACUUGAAGCGAAUUAGUAUUAUGCCUCGGUUAACAUGCUAAUUAUAGUGAUUCUGGAGAAUUCACAAUCAUGCACCAUCAUAAGCCCGUACACAAACAAUGUGAGACUUGAAUUUAGACCAUAUAAUGAAUUUGAAGCUUGACAUCCAUAUCCGAAGGCUAAAAAAUUAUGUCGAUCUCCAUCAUGACAUGGUACUCGUUGCAAGGAUUCUGCAUCUAGCCAUCUCGUGCCAACUUAUGCCUCCUCAGCAGCGCCUGAUGCAUCAUGGGGCCAAAAUCACAUCAAAGGAUUGCCGCUUUGUCAAUGUAAUUGGAACCUAAAUAAUUGAGGAUACAGCCAACAAUGGCAUUUUAUUUUCUGUUAUGCAUCCACAAGUCAUCAAAGACUACAAGGUUUGUCUGUUUGAUAAGGAAAACAAAAUCACGUGCUUUGGUAAAAGAAAUGGUCCUAUGUUUCAAACGACAUCCAAAAGUCUUGAUAUGGAGAAAAAGGAAUCUUACUCGAGGACAUAAUGUGCAUCAAAACAUACGCUCUCUGGUCUAACUCAAACUUCUUGGCGUAUUGGGAAGACGAAGACUUUACUAGGACUCGUCAACUUUUUUGUGUAAAAAGUGAAGUAAAAGGGAAAAAAGUGAUAAUGGGACAGAAACUUUAAUCAAUUCCAGGAAGAUCAAGACAUUGUAGGACCUAAAUUGGCUUUGUUGCUCCACUUUUGACAUCUCCCCUCUUCCAUUGCUACAUGAGUGUCUCUUUUUCCAUUACUAGUAGAAUUUCCACAUGCUACAUGUCUUGCUUAAAAUUAACAAUACCAGAAAUUAGUAUAAGAAGGGAGCCAAGAAGGCCCCCAAAAAGAUCUCUCCAAUACUCAUGGAUUUACCAAUCAUUGAAGUGAACAAUAAGGGUUGUGGUGAAGCUAAGUGAUAAUGAGCCGAUGGAGAGAGAAAACUAUGAAUUUUAGGAAUACCAAGACUUUCACCUAUCAAAAACAUUAAACAAAGACCAAGACUUUCAAAGAUGCUCAUAGGAGAUUAGAGAAAUCAAUAUAAAAUAUUCUUUUGUCCACAAGUGCUUGUUUGCAAUAUUUAGAGAAUAUCCCCCAUAGAUUUUGCUGGAUAUCAUGUGCCUUUUUGUCUGAAAAGUGAAGCAAAAGUAGAUAAUUUCCACGCAUUACAUGGGAAGCAAUAGUGAAGCACUUUAAGAAAAAGCAAUAACGGGUGAGAAACUUUAAUCAAUUCUAGACAAAGACUUUGCAAAAAAAGUGAUGAUGGAAGAGAAACUUUAAUCAAUUCUAGACAAAAAGUGAUGAUGGGAGAGAAACUUUAAUCAAUUCCACAAAGAGCAAGACUUUGUGAAAAAAGAAGAAGUGAUGAUUAGAGAAAAACUUUAAUCAUUUCCAGGAAGACCAAGACUUUGCUGGAUGCAAAUUGGCUUUGUUCCUUCACUUUUCACGUUUCUCUUUCGUCACUAUGUGAAUGUCUAUUUUUCCAUUGCUAGUGAAAUUUUCACGCGUUACAUGUAAAAUUAACAAUACUAUAAUUUUCAGUUAAUUAGUUUCAUGUUUAAUUAUAUUGGGGUUUUUCAUUCAUUAAUCUCUAUUGUACUUGUCUAUUAGAAUUAUCUCUAGGUGUUCAUUCAUGUUUACAAGUUUAAGUUUGAUAAAAGAAAAAGGCAAAAAAAAAAAAAGCAAAAAAUUGAAAAAGAAAAAAAAAAUCAGGAAUAGGGCGACAUAGAGAGUGCCAGCCAUCCAACGGCCAUUGGCAUGUCGCUGUUGUCAGCACCUCCGUAGGAUGAUUCAUUCCAACCCUAUCGCCACCGUUGCAGUUGGCGCUACUAGCCGGACUAACCAUCACAACCAGUCACCUUAAAUUACCUAACGACUAAACUGACUUAAUCUAUAAAUGCAUUCACAAUUGAAAAUAUGAAUUCUAAAAUUUACAAUUUCUUACAUGCGCCGUGAAAAAUUAGAUUCAACGUGGAGCUCACUUCAUUCAAUAGUGGAUGUGACCUGGGCUUACAUGCGCUGGGUUCAUUCAAAAUUUUUCCCCCAUUCCGUGUCUAAGACUUUGACAAGAGUUGCUACCAAAACGAAGGAGUCUCUACCAAAACGAAGGAGUCUUUCUUGAAAAAGAAAAAGAAAAAAGGGCUUAGUCUCAAGAGACCCAAUUCUCAUUUAUUACGCCCAUGAAGCUGCAGCUUUGAAGCCCAACAGACUAAAUUCCUUCAGCUUAGUUAUAAUUGUUGCAGUUGGCUUAUCAGAGAAAAGAGGAAUAGUUAAGAGGGAGAAACAAGAAACAAGAAAGCUGGAAAAGUGAAGUGAAAAGCGCGCUAGAGAGAAAAAGAAGUCGGUUCAAGUUUGCUGGGAACAUCUUAACACGUUGGAUUAAUGUCGUACAAGCAGCGCUUGAUAAGAAUUCAAAGACUUAAUUCACCUAAUUGAUGAAAUUUUUCUAGAUCAAGCUGUAAUUUCAAUUCCAUUCGAGUUUUAGGUUGCUAGGUUGAUUAUAGAAGUUAUUGAGCUAUGAAAUCAUGUAGUGAUGAAACUUUGGUGUGUCAUGAAACCAUGGGAUUUUAUGGAAGUCAACUUAGGAUUACGGUUUCAUUGGGGUGAAAUUUUGAAAUUUAUUGCGCACUGUCGGAACCAUAUUCAGGCCAUUGUGUUUGGCACUGGUUUUUUGCCAAUUUAUGGACCUCUUUUGGGUCGAAGGUGAGUUCUCCUUUUAAGCAUGUUGAGUUAGUUUUCCAAUGACUUUGGACCUACUUGAAACAUAUGUCAGUAGAGUUCUUUUUAAAUUUUGCACAUGAGUUGCCGCAGUACAACGGACAACAGUAAUUGUCUACUUUGGGCAAGCCUUUUGUUGGUGCAUUAGAGUUAUUUGUUACCAAAUAAGCUUAGUUUAGUCGAGUCUUAGUUAAGGUAUUUAUCUACUUGAUUUUGAUAUCCGUUUCUCACUUAAUUGAUUGGAUUUCACGUUCCUUCAUUUGAGGUAAGUUUUGUAGUUUGGUUCGUACUUUCAAGUGAAUGGUGCUUGUUUCUUCUAAGAUUUUGAACUCAUGUCUUGAUAAUAACGUAAAUUAGAUAUGUUAUAAGUUAUGGAACAUGUAUUGCAUAUUGUUUAGAUAUGCAUAUUUGUAGCAUGAAGGUGGAUCGGACAUUGACUAUUCUUUUAGUAGUUGAAAUGGCAUAGUAGAGUAUCUCUUGAAAUAGUUUUUUUUUAUCGGAUGUCUCCAAAGAGACCUCUUGAAGUAGUUUGGGAGUUGGUUUUUUGUGAAAUGAUUUGGGAAAUACUACGUGAAAUGUAUCCUUCUUGAUAGAGGAAUUGUGAAAGGAUACAUAUGUCAAUUUGUAAAACUGAUUUAUGAAAUGAAUUCUGAAAUUUUUUGACAUUCCUUACUCGUACACAAUUGUGCAGGGUAACCACAUUUUUGUGCCCCUGAUAUCCUAAUAUAUAGCCCAGAUACAGUUGCAACUUUUGAGGAUCUUUGAGUAUGAUCUAUUGAAAUUUGAGCACUUUUUGACUGUAGCAAGAGAGCAUGUGGAACUGAGGCCCUUUUCCAAAUCUGGUAAUUAACUAUACUUCAUGUGGCUGCCGGAUUGACCAACUUUGUGACUCUGAAACCUUUUUUAAAUUAAAAUAAAGUUUCCUGCCACAUGAAUUAGAAUCUUCCCUAAUCCUGUCAUAUAAGAAGAAACUGAGACUUUCAAUUGCAAGUUUAAAUGCAUUGAUCACUGCAGUUCUAUUAAAUUCACCUCUGUUAGAAAGAUGUAUCAAUUUCUACAAGUUCAUGUUGUGAUUUUGGCUCUCUUUUAUGUCAUGUAUUUCUAAGAUAAGAUGGUUUUAGUCAAUACCCAGGAUUUCAUAUCACUUGCUCUGUUACACAUUCUAAUCACAAUUAUCUGUGUGGAGUGAUUCAAUAAGCCAUAGAAAGGCACAUCAAUUUUUUGCACCAUUUAUUUCUGAAUCCUUCAGCUUUGAAUCCCACAAGUUUGCAUUUCCACGAUUUUCAGAGAGAAAGCAUUUUGCUGUGGAUGGCACCUGUUCCUGGAGACUCGCUUGAAUGAGAGCAUGGGGAAAUCAGAACCAGAUGAAUAUGGCUUUUCUUGAAAACAGAUAGUCAUCACUUUGCUUCAAAAGAGAGCCUUGAAGAAACCGGCUUCACAGGGAUAUAUUAAUCAUUCUUAACAUGAAUCCUUAGAGGCACAGAGAGAGAGAGAGAGAGAGAGAGAGAGAGAGAGAGAGAGAGAGAGGGAGAGAGAGAGAGAAUGAACUUUCUAUUGCAAAAAAUAGGUUGAGGUUGGGUUUUCUUGAUAUUCUAGGCUGCGUCUGCUACUGCUGCUGCUCUUAGCAAUCUCUUUUGUUUUCAUUUUCCUUUUUUUUCUCUCUCAUAAUUUUUGCUGUACAAUUGAUUCCAAUGAAUUGACGACUUAAGAGAUUGUUAAUCUAGUGCUUUGGUUCAAAAAAGCCUUUCCUGUUUGCGAAGUGGUGCUCAUACUGAUGAUGUGGUGACUGAAAUCUUUCGCCUUAUCUCCCCCAAAUUAGCUUCUUGCUGAUAAUAAUCCCGGGCACAUAAGGACGGAUUACAUCACUUGAUGUGCCAUUGUUUCGCCAAGCCUAUGAGGCUGCGAUCCUCCUGAGUCCUGAUCAUACUCCACUUUGACAAGUUUUGUUCCCUUCAAUCCAUUUAGUAUUAGUCUAAUGCAUGUUGCAUGAUCUUGAUGAUAGCUCAUUGAUGCUAGAAUGAUUGUUUAUUGAGAAAAAAAAAAUGAGACUUGCUUUGGGGAAUAUUAUUAUGUGACUGGAAUAUUGAGGGACCUUUUUUUUAAUUAUGUCGGGUAGUCACGUAUUGAGAGCAUCACCUUUUGGUAAUAUAUAAUUUCAUUGAGACUUGCUUUGGGGAAUAUUAUUAUAUGGCUGGAAUCUUGAGAGACCUUUUUUUUUUUUUAAUUAUAGGAGGUGGUCACGUAUUGAAAACACCGCCAUUUGGUAAUAUAUAAUUUCAUUGAGACUUGCUUCAGGGAAUAUUAUUACAUGGCUGGAAUCUUGAGGGACCUUAUUUUUUUUCCAAUUCUAUUAGAUAGUCACGUUUUGAGAACACCACCAUUUGGUAAUAUAUAAUUUCAGUCCCACGUCAGAUUGUGAUGCUAUACAUUCUUUGAAAUAGCCAACAAUAAAACUAGUUUAACCUGACCAAGUUGGUUGUCAUAGUGGAACUACCCCAAAAGCUCGAUGAUUAGUUUAAAAUUGGGGAUAAAGUGAUUGAGCACUAGUUUGCAUGUUUAGACAAAGUGAAAAGGAAAGUAUAUUCUUUUAUAAGAUUGGUGAUUAUCAUUUUAGGAAAAAAAAUUGGGGAGUAAGGUAUUCUAACGAUUGUAGAACUAGGCAAAUUUAGAUCAUUAUAUUCUUGCUUCUUCCUCUCUCUCUUUUUUUCAAAUAAUCCAAGACAUGAGUGUGGAAAUCCAACUGCUAGAGACCCAUUGGACAAUCUUGCAAGCCCCAUGAACUGGUUUAAUAUAGAUGUUUGACCUAUGCAUGUAACUCUUAUCUAGAGCAAUUAGAACGUAAUUGAUGGGAUUCAAAUGAAUGUCAUCCAGUUUCUUGAGUUGGAAAUUUCCUAGUACCCCAACUGAUUGUAUCAACCCAACGUAGAUCAUUACAUUCACAAAUGUGGCAUCCUCUCUAAAGGCACAAAAUAUCAACUCUAAAUUUAAAGAAUCUCUAUUCAGAUUCGUUCAUAAUUAUAAGCUAGAGGCAAGGAAGUGGAUGAACGGGUGUGUGAUGAGAAGAAUAUGCAUUAUAGUCCCUCAAAUGACUUACUACCUUUAUUAUUAGGUGAUCUAUUCGGUAUUUAAGUGCCUCAAAAAUUAGUUGUCAUUUCGGACUUUUGCAUAGAUUCAUUUACCCAAAAGAAAAGGUAAAAAUAUUGUUUUUCUAUCCAACUAUUUUGAGAAAAUAUCUGAAGUGAAAAUGCUUUGUUCAGAUCUAAUUCUACCGCGAUCCACAUAUCGUACCUUACAACAUUCUAAUCUAUAAAGACACCAUCGCAAAAGAUUUUGGGCAAUUUGAUGCAUAUUAUGAAAGUUUAUGGCGUGAUGACAUGAAAUAAAUUUUGAGGAGCAAAUCAAUGAAAGAGAGUGAUUUUUAACAGCAAUUUAUAUCCAUUACUCUUGUCUUUAUAUCCAAAUAAGCAUUUCAUAUCAUACUGAACUAAGAAAGUUGGUUUUAUAUAUAUAGAUGUUAGCUGAGAAUUUCUUACUUCAAGUAACAACAAACUCCAAAAUGAUCCUGUCAUAAAUAUAAUUCUACCACACACACAUAUAUUUAUAUGUGUGUCUAUGCACGCGGGCGUAAUGAAAACAAAGUAAAAGCCCCAGGCUUUUUUGUCAAUUCCCUCCCUUUCGCCACUCGCCAUUUUUGAAUCAUGUUGUCAUUUGUAUUGGAGACCCUUCAACUUGAAGAGUAACAUAUGGCUUGAGAAGAGCAUAAGAAAAAUAAAUUAAAAAAUCUGGAAAGUAAUGAUCAAUUAGGCCUGAAUAAAAAUUAUCUUUCAUGAAUAAUAAACAUAUCUAUGAGAGUGAUCAGACAAACAAAAUUAUAUGAAUACCCACCCGGUAGUAACCAAAAAUGAACAAACAAGACAAGCACUGGGAUAUUUCACUUUCCUACUCCCAGAAAUCAGCGACCCUUUCUUUUGAUGAUUUUUUUUUUUUUUUUGGCUGAAUAUAUCCUAUGAUUAAGUGACAAACGAGAGCUGAUGCAACUAUAAGUACGUCCUGUAUAUGAGGAGACAGGAUCUUAGUCUUUUUCUGCUUUAUCUCUGUAGCUAAGCCUCAAUUUCUGUUUUUUUAGGUAACUCGACCAUGGAGAACAGCUCUUUCCUGAUGUUAAGAACAGAACUCACUUGAUUCUACACGAGCUGGAGUGUCUUCUUAUAAAUCCUCAAAAUCCCCAUGGAAAAGCACCACCUUGCCUUGAGGAACCACCGCUUGCAUAUAUUAGAUGUUCAUCGUGACUAGCCUGCAAAGCAAGGUGAAAAGAGGGCUAUUAGCUAUGAAGACAGUCCAUCGUUGGUCAAAUGGAAGAAUUUUGGCAAGAAAAUCAAUCUCACCAUCAGAAUUCCUCCUUGGAACAAGACCAGACCUUGAAUGAGCACCUCAACCACAUCCAAAUCCUACAGUUGGGGAUAGCAGAAAACGCAGUCAUACUCUAUCUAUCCUUAGACAAGAAACUAAAAGUUUACAAAGAUAACACUUCCGUAGGUCAUCAGAGUAAAACUUAAAGGCCACGUAUAUAAACAAAGAAAUGUCCAAAUUCAUUAUGUGCAAAGCCCAAAACUGCCUAUAGGCACAGAUAUCUGAACUACUUGGUAUCAUAGACUACUGUAAUACAAAAACACUGAUCAGGCUUAGCAUAAAUGUUCCGUUCCCUAUAUUUUGCCAGUUGGAACAAUUAGAUUGGUUUAUGUUCCACUAUAAGCUAGAUGUAAGAUGGUAGAGACUCUUUGUAGUUGUGUUUACUGAUUGGUUCUACUGUAUUUUCAAUGUAAAGACCAGAUUCCAACAAGUUCAAUUGGUGCAGGAACAACAACAAGCACAACUGAAAAAGUAAUCAAAGUCAAAAAAUUGAGAAAAAUGACUAAAACUCACCAAAUGAUUGGAUGGCUGGUCAAGCAUAACUACGUGAGGUUUCUUGAAAGUUAUCUUGGCAAACGCAUCUCUACCUUUCUGACCACCUAUUUAUAUGGUCAAAGCACCAUGUUAUGUGUGCAAUAACAUCCAAAAAGCCUUGAGAAAAGUACGCAGUGAACCAAAAUUCAUAUUACAAAUUAACUAAUCUCCAAUAGAGCUUCACAAUGUCAUAUGAAAAUUGCAACAACAAAAAAUUUACAUAUGCAACAGUAGCAAAGAGAAAGAUGNNNNNNNNNNNNNNNNNNNNNNNNNNNNNNNNNNNNNNNNNNNNNNNNNNNNNNNNNNNNNNNNNNNNNNNNNNNNNNNNNNNNNNNNNNNNNNNNNNNNNNNNNNNNNNNNNNNNNNNNNNNNNNNNNNNNNNNNNNNNNNNNNNNNNNNNNNNNNNNNNNNNNNNNNNNNNNNNNNNNNNNNNNNNNNNNNNNNNNNNNNNNNNNNNNNNNNNNNNNNNNNNNNNNNNNNNNNNNNNNNNNNNNNNNNNNNNNNNNNNNNNNNNNNNNNNNNNNNNNNNNNNNNNNNNNNNNNNNNNNNNNNNNNNNNNNNNNNNNNNNNNNNNNNNNNNNNNNNNNNNNNNNNNNNNNNNNNNNNNNNNNNNNNNNNNNNNNNNNNNNNNNNNNNNNNNNNNNNNNNNNNNNNNNNNNNNNNNNNNNNNNNNNNNNNNNNNNNNNNNNNNNNNNNNNNNNNNNNNNNNNNNNNNNNNNNNNNNNNNNNNNNNNNNNNNNNNNNNNNNNNNNNNNNNNNNNNNNNNNNNNNNNNNNNNNNNNNNNNNNNNNNNNNNNNNNNNNNNNNNNNNNNNNNNGCAAUAGUUCCUAAACUGCCAGAGAUCAAGACCCAAAGGGAAGGUGAUUUAUGGAAUAUCAAUGCUGUCAUGAAUUGGAGUUGUAUUGAAAGCUUGAAGCCAUGAACUGCCCUAGAAUUUUAUCCCAGAUUGACUGCUUAAUACUGUGAAGGAUCAUCAUCAACAAAAAGAAGGUUCAGAUUCUUAAGAAAACCAUAAAAAAGAAUUGGAUCCUCCUUUCUUGAUAAACCUAUCACAGGUUCGACAUAACUAAUCAUGUUUUAAUAUAUUGAAAAGAUUAUCCUUAUAUAGAUCAUAUUUACUAGAAGGAAAAUUAGAACAUACCAGUGCACCAAAUAAAAUUAGUCGCUUCUUUUCCUUUUUCUUUUUAAUUGCAAAAAAUGGCACAAAAUUGACAGCAUUAGUCCUACCUCAAAAGCAUUCGCAAGUGAUUGUUCAAAGAGAUUUUGCCAAUACAUAUUACAAUGGUGAAUGAGCCAGGGCACAAGAAAAAGAUUGUUGGGAAGAGAACAUACAAGAAACGCCAAAAAUGCAGAGGAAUAUGAUUGUGGAAUGUUAUGAUUCACCGGGAUUCUCAUGCAAAGCAUAGUGUAUUUUCAUUCACAAUUUGUUUGGGCAUCAAGCAGAGUUCAAGAUAUGUCAUUCUCUAGUUUAUUGUCCAACGAAACAGAGCUGAACCAACCUAACAAGAACACCCACUCAAAUGUCAAUCUUUGACCUACAGUGGUUGGUUUUUGGAAAUUCAUGGGAAACAUUUCCAUGGGAAAAUAUCAAUUUGUAUUACUCAUUGAAUUGAGGAAGCGGAAUUGAAAUCAAAACCAAAAACUUACUCGAACCCUAAGAAACUGACUGUACAUGGAAGAAUCAAUCCACUGGAUUCGAAUGUCAUCAAUGAGGAUGCUCAGGAUCUCUUGGAUGAGGGGCCAAUAGUUGCCAGUGAAUUUUGAUCAUCGAUCUUUCAGAAUCUCGCACCCAUCUAUGCACAAUUCUCAGAGGGAGGGAGGGAGGGAGCCCAUCCUCUGGCAAGUACCUCAACUUCAGGCAAUCGUAAAGGUGUAAAAAUGUGAGAGGAGAAAGAUAGUUGUGAAGAAAGCUUGAAAGCCUUCCCACGUUCCUCAUUUUAAAUAUCCAAAGACAUGUCAGAGAGGAAGGAAAGAGAAGACUCCACGCAUCAUCAUCCUCCGAAGGAAACCAUACCUUCUCUACUUCCCCUCCCAUGCUCAAGUCAAUUAACAGAAACUUGAGGGAUGUGAGCAUGGGUAAGCCCCACUCUCUCACUAUACGCUUCAGAUUCUCACAUGCUAAAACUGUAGGUCCAGCAAAUUGAGGCAAACCUCCUUUGGGGAAGCAUUUGAUAUUUUGGCAACACAUAAUAUAUAGCAUAUGAAGGGAUAUAAGAUGAUGCCACUGAUUUGGUAGAGGCUUUAUCUUCGGACAGUUAUAGAAAAAGAAAUAUGACAAGGUGAUGGGAAGGGAAGGGAAGUACUCUAUCUCCAAUGUCGGACAGUUACUUAUAUCAAAAGAGUGAAAUGGGAGAGCGUGUGAAGACACUGUGGUAGGCUUCCCAAAUUCAGACAGCUGUCAAUAGUCAUAGAAUUGCUGAAUUAUAUGGCGAUCUCUUCUGGCAAAUUCACUCCCUCGCAAUGCCCAAUAAUAAGCGUCUUGAGAGCAGCAAGUUGAGGCAUCAGGUUAUUGCUAGUGGGGUCAUUUGGAGUAAUUGUUAAUAAUCCCAUGAGUUUUGGACACUUCUCAAUUAACAAAUCUCUGAGAGUGUGCAUCUUGCUUGGAAGCUUUUCUAAACCCACACAGUCCCUCAAUUCCAUUGUUUUGAGGUUGAAAGGCAGCUCUAUCUCUCCUUCUCCUGCCACAAAAGACAUGAAUUUAGGACAACUUUGGAUGGAUUUUUUUUUUUUUUUUUGGUGAAAAACUUUGGAUGGAUAAUUCCUAGUGGCAAGUAAGAUUUCGUGUUUUAUUUCCAUCUUGCCACAAGUAUGUUAGCUUGUCACAGCUUCUUAUAUGAAGCUCCUUUAGCUUGACCAAACAGCUCAUAAUCUCAUGAUUAAAGCCAACAAGCUCUGCAAGAUUUUGAACCCUGAGAAUGGUUAAAGAAGUUAGGUUGACCAAGUACUUUAAGAUCCCUUUGUUAUAAUCCUCAAGGUAUAACUUGCAAAUAAAUGGAAGACAAACCACACUGAUUGAAUUAUUCAAAUGUGGGCACAAAUGGAUUUCAAGCUUUAUGAGACGAUUAAGUUGACAAGGCAAUGUCCAAACCAACAAAGGACAACUCUGAACAACAAGAUGCUAAAGACAGGAGAAUAGUACUUCUUCUUCUGGACUCCCAGCAUAACAAGAUCAAUCAUUCCAUCCCAACAUCUCUUCAAACUUCAAAGUUGUUAAGGAUGAGAAAGGCCUUUUACCUCCGUAAAAUUCAGAGCCUAUCAUUCUUACUGCAUGUAGACCAUUCAGACAUAAUUUCUUAAGUAAAGGUAGUUUUCCAAGUUGAGGCAGUGAUAUAACAUUAGGACAACCCCGUAAGCACAAAGACACUAGCUUACAAUAGGAUGGACCAUCCAACCAAGAUGGGAAUAUCGCACCACCAUAAUAUGAGAUAGUAAGAUUUUCAAGAUCAGUGCAAGGUCGCAAAUAGUGAAGCACUUGUGCUUCAUGCUUAUCAUUCCAUAGAUUUCCAAAAUCUUCACCCCAAUGCAAGAACAUGUUGCUAAGGCCUUGCUUUCCAAACAAAUUAGCAUCAACAGCAUCUCUAGCUUCUUGCACUUUUUGCAAUUCUGAUAUAACUAAUUCUCCUUGAAGAUAGGACAAAUUCUUCGACUCCUUUAACUGUAACCCUUUCUUAAUUCCUACAUCAAAGUUGGGCAAGACAAUAAGAUUUUUCAAAUUACCAAUACCCAAGGGCAUCUUGUUUAGACUAUGUGUAUCUCUAAUGUCAUGAAACUGUAAGCUCACCAAUUUUGUGAUACCUAGAGACAACAUAAAAAGCUUUUGACAACCUCUUAAGAUCAAAGCUUGUAAUUUGCAUAAGGCGACAAUUGAAUUAGGUAGUCUUUUGAUGUCUAUGUAUGAGAAAUUGAGAUAUUGAAGAUGUUUUAAAUCACCAACACAAUUCAGUACCUCUAUGAUGUCACAAUGACAUAAUGAGACCACCCUCAAGUAGUUUAAUUCUAUUAGCAAGUCAUACAAUGCCUUGUUGGAAAUGUUGAACUUGCUGCCCCCACUGGAUUCAAUAUGAAGUAAAAUUAAAUUUCUUAGUACCUUCAUUCGGUAAGAUGCUCUCAAGCAUUUUGAUGUAACAGACCAUGACAAGAUGAAUGAUGCAUAAUGAGUUUUCACAAGAGAUGCAUCGUCUUCAUUUCGUACUAGCUGAGACUCCCCUGAGUUUAAGCAUGUCCCACCUGCAAUUGACUUUGCUAGAUCAUUCAAAAAACCAUGCAUUGAGAACUUAGAUGCAAUGACACUUGAUUGUUGAAGAAAUGAUUUGGAUACUAACUCAUCGAAGUAAUUCCGUCCUAAUCUCAAGUUAUUCUCCUUUCUUUUUUGUCCAUCUAAAAAGCCCUCCACUAUCCACAAGAGUACCAGCUCAUCCCUCUCAAUUUUGUAAUCCUUGGGAAACACCACACAAUAAGCAAAACAUCUCUUCAAAUAAGAAGGAAGAUGGACAUAGCUCAAAUUCAAAAAUAGGAGAACCCCAUCAUUUUUUCCCGUUGGAAUAUCCCACAUUCUAUUAUUUAAGAUAGCUUCCCAUUCAUCGAGAUCCCAUUUAUUAUGCAGGAGACCACCUAACACCUUCACUGCCAAAGGUGAAACUUUACAUUUUUCAGCUAUUUUCUUGCCUAUUGUUUCAAGAUCAAUGUGCCUCUCAAAAUUUGUUGCUCUAAGAGCAUGAAAGUUAAUAAGUUUGUACAAUUAUCAAUGGACAACUCCUUCAAAGGAUGAGGCGAAACUCAUGUUAAGGAAACAACCAAACUAUUGUGAGUUGGGAUGAUGAUCUCGCUUCUCUUAGCCCCUGCUUCAAAUGACUUUAAGAGGGCAGUCCAUUCCCUGUGCCCAGACAUCAUCUAAAACCACAAGAAACUUCUUCACUGAUAGACUAUCCUUCAACUUAACUUGAAGAUAGUUGAGAUCUUUGUCCUUGCAUGACAACUCGGUGAUCGACCGCAAAAUAGUCUUUGUUAUGUUGAGAACAUCAAAAACAUCUGAAACACAAACCCAUGCUCUUCUCUCGAAGCAACUGCUCACGUUGGCAUCAUUAUAUAGCUGUUGAGCCAAGGCCAUCUUUCCAACACCACCCAUCCUAACUAUGGGGAUUAUGCUCAACGUGGCAUCAGAAUUUUCAGCUUCACCAAUCAAUAAUUUGAGUAUCUCCACUUCUUCUUUCACCAUGCCAAUGAGUCUCUGAUAGACAAAUGCUAUGGGGCCUUUUGUUGGUGAAGUUAGUUCUACCCACAACAUUCUCUGUCAAGCUUAGAUAAGCCUUCCUGGCAACAAUAUCCUCCAACCUGCCAUCAAUCUUCUGAACCUUAGUUUUAGACACGAGCGAGCUCAGGUUUGGAUUGGAUCUGGAAGAUUUAUAUUGGCUAAAGAAAUAGAACUUUCACCUCCCCACCUCCACUUGUGCUAGAUUCUGCGCUGACUUGGCCUGAGCGGCUUCGAUGGCAAACUCAUCAAGCAAGUCUUCCAUGUCAUAGGCCAGGUCCCCAACAUCAUCCAACCAUAGCUUCACUAGAUAGUUACCACUCAAGUGCUUGUCCUCUGCAUCAUCCAGCAUCGCAUUGAUUGUGUCCAGCAUCUUCCCCCAUUUAUUGAGCAAGUCGAUGCUGAUUCCAGAGAAGGGCAGUGCUCCUUCCCUUUGCACAUAGUAUAGUCCCAAAGAAGCCAGCUUCUCGAAAACGACCUAAAGGAAGGCACUCAAAAGGAUCUCCUCAAUGGCCAUGGGUGAAUCCGUCAACUAUAGAGAACAACACAGGUUAUGGUGAAGCAAAGUGACAAUGAGCUAAUGGAGAGAGAAAAUGGGUGAAUGAGUCAUUGUAUACAACAGCAAGGGUUAUGGUGAAGUGAAGUGAUGGCGAGCAAGACUUUCACCUCCCAAAAACAUUAAACAAAGACCAAGACUUCCAAGGAUACACAUCAAUGGUUAGAGAAAUCAAGAUAAAAUACUUUUUGCCCAAAAGUGCUCCUCUCUUAAUGUUUAGAGUUUAUCCCCAGAUAUCUUAUUUGAAGAAUUAGACUUUUUGCUACACUUCUACAAGUUAUCAGAGGCAGCUAACUUUGUCUGUUCGAUAAGGAAAACAAAAGCACGCUCUUUGCACUACAAAAUCUACAAGUCAGGCAUACCAACUAAUCCAUUAAGCAGCUUGGUUUAUUUUAAUCUGGAAACAGUAAAUGAGUUAAAAAUCACCAACGAAUAACAUAUAAUCAAUUGAAUAAUAACUCUCUAAGCAUCACAUUAAUGAACAGGAAAGUCGUGUUCAAUCCCUCUGUGGGAAACAAAACUUCAAUGAAAUCCAGGAAGACCAGGACUUUGUAGUACGCCAAUUGGGUUUGUUGCUUUGCUUUUCACAUCUCUCCUCUUCCAUCCCUAAGUGAAUAUCUUCUUCUUCUUUUUUUCUACUGUUUGAUGCUAGAAAUUUAGUUGGUCUAGGAAAAUUAUUUCCACUGAGAGGAAAAGCCACGCCUCAAGAUUGAGGAGAAUAAUUUCAGAUCAUAAAAUCUAAAGUUGCUGCUUACCCCUCUCACUAUCGCAGACCGAUUUCAUCAUCAUCCCUCUCUCCUCUCCUCUGCAAACAUGCGCGAAUGCCACCCUCCCAUUUACCCACCAUCGUCAUCUACCACCAACAUCGGUUACCCAACAGAACCAAAUCGCCAACCCCAUUGAGCCAUCCUUCUUCAAAACCAUUCCCAACCGCAGUAACAAGCACCACCUCAGACUCGAUCACCACGACCACCACCGCCACCAUUCACAGCCAGCAAAAAUUCAGGGGGAGAUAAAAAUAAAAAAGAAAGCCAGGGAGGAGGAAAUUUCACCAAUCGGAUGGCCAAGUAAUAAAAAAAUGUGGGUCGGAGGGGCUUCCCGAGCUCUUCCGCACCUGGUCGCUACCAUUUGACUUUGUAUUCUGUGACUACCAUGGCUGCAGUGUGCAUGAACGGUGUUUAGCUUUUCACGGUGCCGGGCGGAGAAGAAGGGAUAAAAGAAAGUGGUAAGAAGAGGAAAAAGGAGAAUGUUCGACCAAAAAGGUAAAGUAUUUGGCCCAAACCACUUUCCCUGCCCAUAUUAGAGAAUGAGAUCUAAUUUUCUAUCCAAAUAGCAUAAAUUAUUUUUUUUUUCAUUUUCAAAUUUCUACCAAACGCCAAAAAAAAUCAUUUACUCAAAAAUUAAUUCUAAGAAACCAUUUUUUUUUUUUUUGUCGGUAAGAAACCAAUUGAAAAUACUAAAUUUUCAGUUAAUCAAGUAGAGCCCUUGUUAGUUGAUGAUUGCUUUCUUCAAGUAAUAUCAAUGUUAUGCUUGGAGGCGUAUAUAUGAAAAAUAAACUAAAGACUACUUUAUACCACUCGAAAUAAUAAUUAGGCCCUAGAAUUUUUUUUUAAUUCCCUUUUUUCGCCAAUUGCGAUCAUCAAUACAAAAAUUUCAUAUCAAUCACGAUCAUUUUGGACUCUUUAAGUUCCACCUAAAGCUUGUUAGUGAGAAGAAAAUGAGAAUAAAUAAAGAAUCUGUGAUGAGAAAAUCAAGUGGCCCCCAUUAAAAAUAAUUUUGUCAUGUAAAUAAACAAUUAUAAGAGUAAUUGGACAAACAAAUUGUAUUCAUACUCACGUGAAAGGAACCAAAAACCUACGAACAAGACAUAUCGGGGUACAAAUGGGUGACCCUUCGAUCAUUUUGUUUUUUUGUUUUUUUCUUGAAUGGCCCUUUUGAUUGUAUAAUGUAGAAUUAUGGGAGACUAUAGAUCCCCAUUAUUGUUGACCUAAUGGUAUAACACGAUCAUUUCAUAAAUGCCAGGUUACAAAGAUAACCCCCUAACGAGGAUAGUGAUAUGUAUCUUAUCUUGCCUGCCACAAGACCUCACUUGAUUUGGUGUGCUUCUUGUAACUGGACUUGUCUAUGCAAGAUAAAUCUGUAGCAAGUGGUGUUGGAUGACAACCUUCUCACAAUUCUAUAUCGGAAACCUUAUGAUAGGGGUGAGCUUUUUUAUGACAACUCAAUAGAGCAAUAACGUAUUUAAAAAAAAAAAAAAAACAGGGAAAUAAAGCAUGGUCACCUUGAAUGCUACUCUCCACCCUCCCUUUACAACAAAGAAAAAGAAAAUGUGGGACUGGGAUCGAUAAAACCGUUGGUAUGAGAUUAUGUGGAAAUUUUAAAUGGAUUAUAAUCUUCAGGCUUACUUCAAAUUUAGCUGUUAGAUUCACCAACUCGAGAGUCCCUGUUUUCGCAUCUUUAAAGUAGCUGCUGUUUUUUUUUUUUUUUUUAAAAGAGCUGCUGUUAUUAGAGGUAAGAGAGGUUCUUAGAUUGGCUUUGAACACCAUCAUACAGAUUAAUCUUAAUUAGAGCACGUUACCACUAUUGAUGUAAGUAAUCAUACAGUGGAGAGAAAUUUUCUCAUGAGAUCCAAACUCAAUCAAUUUUAAUGAGUGUGAUUUCUUGGAUGAGAUACUAAUAAUCUCCGGUUAGUUUUCAAGUAUUGAUAUUUUGGAAUCUUACUCAAUAUGGAAUACUUAAUGGGGGAGGUAGGGGAGCCAUCCUCUCACUUAGAUCUCUAUCUUAAUUUAUGAUGGAGGUAUCGAUUUUAAGUUUUUGAAAUCUGAACUUAUCUCACGAACAUUUUGAACUUGCCUAAAAUCUCUCGGUUUCAUGAGUUUCAAGCUACCCUACGCUAUCGCGUUGAAAAUGGAUGCUGAAUUUAAAUUGCCUUCGUAAUGUUUUGGUAAAAAUAGAAAUGCCGAUAGUAAGUGCAAAGGCAGUCAGAGGCUAUUGCGAUGCUCCCGAGCGGGAUGAGUGGGUUUAAUAGCUUAUUGAACGGGAACGUGCGAUCCCUCUCCUUCGGUGUGGGCUCUUUGAAAUCCUAACCGCACAUAGCAUAUACUUGUUACUAGCCUAUUGGAACCGGUUAGGAGCUAACGUGAGAACAUGUUACCUUACAUAAGCUAGAGAAUUCAAAAAUAUGAUUACACUUAGUAGUAUUCUCCACAACAUGUCCAUUCAUGCUUGUUUGAUUGAGAUUGACUCUAAAGUGUAAUAUACUCAUUGAAUGAAUCUAAAGAAAUCAAAUCACGAAAUCAAUAUAAUGAAAACAGCAUGACACAUCAAAAUGAUACUAAAGGAUGAGUAAAAAUAAAGAGUGGAAAGUAAAUCCGAAACUAGACGAGCAAAGUAUACAUUGCUUUAUUAUUAAGUUUCGGGACAUCAACCAGUGAGCUAAUUUUCAAAAUCAAUCAAAGUCUAAUUUUGGCAAAGGAGAAUUGCCUACGGUUUCAAUAACGAUAUUAAAGACGAGAACAUAAACGAACUAAAGUAAUACUAACGUAAACGCUAGUAAGAUUUUUUCAUCAUCGUCAUCGUCAUCGUCAUCGUCGUUUUUUAAUUUAUUAUAAUUUUUUUUAUUGUUUUCUUCUUGUUCUCGGUCCCUCUUGACCAACUUCAUGUACGGCCACCAGACGCAUGACCACGGCUUUCCCGAGUAAACACAGAGCAUGGAUGAGAAAAUAGGAACGCAACAGAGAGAUUCACACAACCACCGCUAGAAAUAGACUCCAAGCAAUUUUAUAUCUCCGGUGUCCACCGCAAAUCGCCAAACGAACAUGCGAAACGCAGAACAAAUGAAACGCAGGUUACGUGUCUAACAAAUCAUGCCUAAUUGCUAAAAAAAAAAAACAAAAACAAAAAAUAUCAUGUAAACUAUGUCAAUUUGCCUUAAGAUUAGACAAUUUUGGAAGAACUAUUACACCACCCUGUCUCAGCGACAUUUCAUCGAACAGUUUACGUGCAUCGAGUGAGGAUUUAAAGGAGCCUUCGCUGAACUCGGAUUUGAGACCAAAGUCGUACAAAAUCAGUUCAGGACGUUUUCAAUCAACGAAUAGGCUGAUGGAUUGAGGCCGUUGAUUUGAAUGGGCUUUGUGGACUGGACUGGACUGAAUAGGGCCGAGGCUUUAUUAUUUUAUCCUCCUCCUCCUCCUCCUUCUGCGUCUUCUUCUUCUUUUGUUAUUUGUUAAUUUGUUUAUUUAUUUUUUGUUCUUUUUGAAAAAUGCAAUACUUGAUUUUUUUGGAGAAAAUUCAUGUGUCAACAGAGGCAAAUACAAAGAACUGGUAAAGCUAACUGUAAUCCACAUGUAAGGUUACCAAUCAUUCGCUUCAAUUCAUACUAAGCGGUUAUGUCUUUGGUUUAUUUAUUUAAUUAUCAAGACAUGCAUUAAGUUAAUUUGUAGGUUUUGGAAUAGUGACUUAGGGAAUAUGAGUAGUUUGAGCAGAAUUUGAGAUCCCUUUUAUUGCCGGCAUAUAAAAUGUGGUAUUUUUUUUUUAAAUAUCAUAACUGUGUGAAUGUUAUUUGUAGUCAUUAACAUGAGAAGAGAGGGGCUUGCUUAUGACCAAGACCAUCGGUUUGGUGUUAUGAUUGACCGUCACUUUUAAAUUUGACAAUGCUAUUGUUCAUCUUUAAAUAAUGCUAAUUACUAGUAUUCCUUCUCUUUUUUUCUUUUUUCUUUUUUUUGUAAACUUAACAAGAUUGAUGGGUACCAAAUAUUCUACUCGAAAAAUAAUGGGAAGUGAGUUGAUGGGUGAGCAAGGCCGAAUUAUGUGUGUGACACCCUUAAUCAUUCUUUUAUUGUGGUAUUUUAUAUUUCUGAUUUUUUUUCUCUAACUUUAAUUAUGUGAUCAGGAAAAGAUGUCGGACAUUCACACGGAGACGAUUCCAGUUUUCUUGGAUCUUUAUAAUAAAGCCAGACCCACCAGAAAAUAUUGCGUGGGUGAAAGUCGCCAAAUCAGCAACAGGACGCUCCACUCAUCUCUCGCCACGUGUAUAGCAGGGUCCCACCAAAAAGAUAUUUUGAAAUUCCCUCUCAAUCCCAGCCUUCUCUCUAUUCCUUGGACGAACUGCGCCGCCGCCUCCGCCUCCGCCGUCGCCUUCAGAAGCUCCACUGGCGGCUCCGGUUCGUUGUCUACGUCCGACGAGCUCAGGUUAGGGUUUUUCCCUCUUUCGCGAUUAUAUCCUCCAGUGUUACUUUUGUUGGGAAUCGAUGGAAUUGGUGGCUCUUCGGAAGAAAUUCGUUGUCUGGGAGAUUCUCUCUUUCCUGGCCGGACAUUAAGGUUAUAGAAGAUGCAUCGACUUGAUAAAUUCGUUAUUCCUGGUUUGAUGGAUUUUUUGUUUUUCUGUCAGCUUUCUGGCACUCCCAAAUUUCCAUAGUUUAACUUGUAUUGCAUGUGAGUAUGAGUCUUGAGUUAUAUCUGCUGUAAGAGUAUGCUUUUUCAUCCCCCUUGCUUUAGCGCAUUCCCCUUUGAGAUAUAUAACGUAACGUCAAUGCGUUUGAAUCGAUUAUGGAAAUUCAAAACGGAGAAUUGACAGAGGAGGAUGCUGGCUUUAUUGGAGUCAAAUUCAGAGUCUGUUGUGCAUGCAUCUGAAAUGGGAACCUCUAAAAUGAGUUUAAAAGGGAACCGAAGUCAGUGUAGACAACUGAAUGUCCAAUGCUGAAUAAUGCUAAACAGAUACUGGCAGCAUGAGCUCAAUUACUUAGCUAUUGAGUACUUAGGAUUUUGAAGCUUGAAGUUACCCAAGUAACAAUCUCAUUCCGAGAAAAACAAGUAUUGCUUGGCGAGCAUUACAUUUUUAAUUCAAAGAUUUCUUAUAUAUAGGAAUUUUGUCCACGCCGAGUAUGAGUUCUGUAAUCGUUCAUGAGCAUUUUUUCCCUCAAUGAAGAUGAUUACUAAUGCCUGCUAUUUGAGCUGGCUUAUUAACCCUCUGGAUUGGAAUUGGGUCUGCGAAAUAGAAAUUCUUGCUCGAAUUAGCAGGGCCCUUAGCAACUUUUUAACCUUCUAGAUUGAAUUUGGGUCUGAGAAAUAGAAGUGGUUGCUUGUUCUAGCUGGGGCUUAUACUUUUACGCAGUCGGCCUACUAAAUAGACCACAUAGGCUGCGUUUGUUUUCGUUUCUUUUUUUUUGUUUUUAAACAACUUUUGUGUUUUUUCUGUUCCUGGGAACAAAAAAGGAACAGAAACGCGUUUGUUUGCGUUUUUGUUCCAAAACUAUUUUUUUGUUCCCAGAAAACACAUUUGAAACAGAACAAGGAAACAAAAAAAAAGUUGUUUCUUAUUUCUGAACAAAUCUAGAAACACUUUUCUUUUUUCUUUCUUUUUUCUUUGNNNNNNNNNNNNNNNNNNNNNNNNNNNNNNNNNNNNNNNNNNNNNNNNNNNNNNNNNNNNNNNNNNNNNNNNNNNNNNNNNNNNNNNNNNNNNNNNNNNNAUUUUAAACAGAAAUGUUACCAAACGCGCCCAUAGUAGCUGGGGCCUGGCAACUUUUUAACCCUCAGGACUGAAAUUCUUACUCACCUUGCUUGUGUUAGAGUUUGUAUCUGCUAACUUGACACGUACGGGAAAAAGCCAUUUGCGAGAGAUGCAUUUUGAUUAAGAGGAGUUCUAGAGAUAUGUCACUUUAGGAAAUAAAACAUUACAUAUGUCCGCAGAUGUCAAAUUGGAUCUUCAAUUUCAAAAAAGAUGUAGCGAAAAAAUCUAGAAAAGCAAAUUGAAAGUUCUGUUUUAGAAAUAACUUCGCCACUGGAUUUCAGCAUCUAGAAAGAAGAGGAAAAUUGUGAUAACGGUGAGGAAGCCUCGGGUUAUCUUUUUAUGCUGUGACUAGGCUUGGAUGGAUUAUAUGUUCCUCGAUUGACUGCACAUUGUUUUGAGCCCCUACUUUGUAUGCGUUGGAGAUAUAAAACUUCGUUCAGAUAUACUCUCGUCGUUGUCAUCCUCCUAUCUGUCCACGCUACAUUCUAAUCUAUAAAAGGCUCAAUCCCAAAGAAUUUUUGGGCAAAUUGAUGCAUGUUGUGAAUAUUUAUGAUGCGAUGACACAAAAUAAUUUUUGAGGAGUAAAUUAGUUGAAGAGACUAAUUAGUGGAAAUUUGUGGUUCUUCCCCUCGUCCUUAUACGUAAAUAAGCUUUCAGUUCAGUCAUGACUAUUCUCCACCGUCGGAGAACGAAAGUGAUAGAAACCGAAGGUGGAGGCAGUGACAAAAACGAACGAUAAUGAAGUCGUCAAGGGAGGCAUUUGGCUACGAUUGGCACCAAUUUAAGUGAGAUUGAGAAACUUCAACUGAAUAAAGUAAAUUCAAGACGAAUUGAGACCGGAACCGCAGAGCUAUUGGCGAGACUCAAAAAGCAUUUCGCCAUGGAAGGAACUGGAAGAGUUACGUUUGAAGGCAGAAGAAGCCGAUGCGAGGUGGCGGAGAUGGCGGAAUACUAGAAUCGGCCAUGGAUAACCUCCGGUGAAACUCGAACCGCGGAGAUGGAGCUUCGGGCGGGAAAGGGAGAAUCGAUGCCGUUACCCCUUUCCUCCUCCGCGUGACCUCGACUUUCUCCAGAUUUCCUUCCUUCUUUCCCUGGUUUCCCCGAGCGCGUCUUCGUUUGAAGCUUUAGAGCGCUAGAGAGAGAAAACGUAAGAGAGAGAAAGAGAGAGGAUAAACCCAAGAUGUCGCUGGGCUUGCGAUCCGCAUAUUGUAUCAUACAACAUUCUAAAUAAUGAUGACUAUUGCAAAAGUUUAUUGUGUAAUGAUAUAAAAUAAAUUUCAAGGAGCCAAUUAAUUGAAAAGACUAAUUUUCAAUGGACAAUCUAUGCUUCCUCGUCUCUAGAUAAGAGAAUUUUUAUCAUAUCAUAGAAAAUGCGAGGAAGUUGGCAAUUUUUUUUUUUUUUUUUUUUUUUGCAUUUUGGUGCUAGAUGAGAAUUUCUUGCUUCAAUUAAUAACCAACUCCAAAAUUAUUAAGUUACAAAUAUAAAAUAUAAAAUAUGUAUUGAAAAAGAAAGUAAAAGCCCCAAAUUUUUCUUUAAUUCCCUGGCUUUUGCUAAUUGCCAUCAUUAUCAACCAACACAAUUUGAAUCAUGCUGUCAUUUGUAUCCGAGACUCUUCAACAAGAAGAACAACAUAAGGUGCGAGAUGAACAUAAGAAAAUUUUAAAAAUCCAAAAAGGAACAAUUAAUUAAAACUAUCUUUCAUACAUAAUAAACAACUAUAAAAGUUAUCAGAGAAACAAAAUUAUAUGUAACGAUAAUAGAAAGGGAGGAGAUAUGCCAAACAGGGUAUGCAUUGGUUGAAUUACAAAAUUUCUAGUUACACCAAAGGAGCCCAAAUCAAUAUGGCGUCAAACUUUCAACCCAAAAAAAAAAAAAAAAAUUGGUGUCAAACUAAUCAAUCAAAGAAAAUCUGUGUAAUAACUAAAAUGAAAAUCAUUUGAGUGGUGAUCCCAACAAUGUAAAUCAAGAAAACACCACUAUAUUGUACCAGCAAAUUAGAGGGACCACUCAUUUUUCCCCCUCAAAUAGUUCAUCUUACAAUGUCAUGCCAAACUUUUUUAAUAUAUCAUAAAAACGAUUGCUAGUUGCUAAUUUCUUGGUUUUGCAUUUUUCGAAAUAUGUGGUGGAUGAAGGACCGUAGCAGAACGACACCAUCACACCUCUUUUCCUGUGUAGAUAUUCCUCCAUACUAGUAGGAAAAUGGGCUUGAGCAGGUCCUUAAACUGCUCAAGGAGGAAACAGAUGGGAAAACCAUCCUGGGGUGGGAGACCCCAUGUUGUCCUCCGUAUUCCCUCUCUGUCGGGAAAACAAAGAUAGACAGGGGAUUUGGGGGCCUCACGGUGGGGAAGGUAGACUCCACGUCAGAGAAAACUCUAGCUACCACCGGGUAGGCAGGUAUAGUAUUUUCGUACUUAACUUUUUAAAUUAAAAAAAUAAUUUUAUUUUUUAUUUGAUUUUCUGAUUGACUAAAGUAAGUUCCUUUGACAAGCUUUUUUUAUCAUACUAAAUAGCGAAAAAUGAAAACAACAUUUUUUUUAUUAAAAUGUUUCUCUCAAAACAAACAGAAUACUAGAAGAAGACCUUUUCAAAGAUCAAUCAUAAAAUAAUGUGGGGUGACAUCCCUCCGGAUAUUCAUUAUAUUGCAAAUCAUCAUCUUAUAACCAAAACUUUUUUAAGAGUUCAUUCUCGUUUAUACAAACUCUAUCGAAAUUACCCAUAACCAAUGUCAAGGAUCCUAAUGAAGUACCGAGCCAAAAAUGUCAAGGUUCUAAAAAAGAAGAAUAAAGCUCCAUACACGGAGAAAAGAUCUUCUGUAACAAUUAAGAGAAUCAAGCUCCAUACACGGAGAAAUGAUUUUCUGCAACAAUUAAGCCUCUUCAAGAACCUCUUCAUCUUCACAUGUCAGAUAUUUUCAGACCUGAAAAUAAUUGUUCGCAUGUUAGAUCUUGUCCAGUAGACCGUUAGUGUCCUAUUCCCGAAAGACAACUAAAAAAUUAAAUGGUGGGCAAAAUUUACCCCUCAAUUCGCAAAUGAAGAAGCGGUUAUGGUUUGCUGCAGAACCUACUCGGUCAAAGCCACAGACUACCAGAACAACCUCAAUUUUUCCUCCACAAAUGUCAACAUCAAGCUCAAUUCGCAGCAGCUCCUGAUCAAAAGUCUCUGCUAAAAGUAGUCCGUGAGACCGUGUCUCAAGCAGGGUCUGACGAUGAAGAAGUAGAAAAACAGUUUCGCUCCUCAACAUGGAAAUGAUUGUCAUGGCAAAAACCUCAUAUAGCAGGCAAUAUCUUUAUAAUGUAACAGAAGUGUCCACUAAUAGAACUCUUGUAACAGUAUUCCUCAAUAUUGUAUAUCAUGGAAGCCAUAGCAACACAUUUCCCUUUUGGAUCAAAUUCCCUUCAUUUGCCUGAAUUCAAGGCAUAUCUUCAACAUAUGAGCUCACGAGAUUGAGACCAUUUGCAAUGGUAGUGCGUGUAUCUUGUCACGUGUGAAUGGUACUGGAUCUUCAGCACCUCGAUGGGGGUAAAUGUGGUGGGCCUUGCCCCCUUCAAGGAGUUAAUCAUGAGUGGUGCUAAGUGACGAUCUUCUGGGAAUCAGAAUAUCUCAUAGCGGAUGCAAGUCCUCAAAAAAACAUCCAGAGGGUAGAGGGUAGCCACGGCUAUUGAUCCUCCCUCCUGUUCCCCGUCCUGCACAGGAAAUAUAAUAUGUAGGACCACUAAAAAUGUUGUCAAGAGAUGGGAGUGGAGUGGGUAUUUGAAUAAAAUGAAAAUGAAAUUCAAUCUUUGACCAGGCAACCAGUUUACUAACAUGUUUUGACCUGUAGGGCUCAUUCAGAAUUUAGCUGUCACAUUCGCUUACUCAAACCUCUGCUAUUAGUUCCGUUUGUCCAUCUGCACUGUAGCAAUUGGGAGAAAGAAAGCUUCUCAUUUUCAAUGAUGACCUGAACAUGUUAAAAGGAUAUUAUCUAACAAAUCCAGGUAUUUAUAUGGAAUUUCAUUAUAGUAUUUUUUGGCUACGCAAGGGCUACAUUAUAAUUAGUCAACGCAAUUCUGUACUUAGAGUUGAACAUAAAGUUUUGUUGACCGUGAUAAUAUUUUCAUAAUUAAUUCUCCUGAACAGUGCAAAGAAUGAAAAUAGGGAAAAUAUAUUCAUAUAAAAAUAGAUUGUCCUACAAAAUAAUUUAUUUUGCUAAAAAGAUUCUUUUGCAAAUGAUUAAAUCAUUUUACUAUGUAUGGGAAAGCUGACUUCCACGGCGAGAAAGUGUCAAACUUCUAGGGGCACAACAAAUGAACCUAUUGCUAGAACAAAAUGUGCAAGAAAGCAUAAAUUAUACCAGGAAUACAAUCCCAACCCAGUUCUUACGCUAUUGCAAAUGAUACUGCACACUUAAUUUCAAAACUUCAAUUCAUCCUUCCACGAGUCCUUAUCAAGUAUGUAUGACAAACGUGGGCCAGGGUAGCAGUGAGUCUAUCCUAUACAUUAGCAACAAUCCUCUCUUCAUCUUUUUUGGCUUUCUCUAUGUAGCUAAGCCUCAUUUUCAGUUUUGUAAGGUAAUGGGAACCCAAUGAACCACUCUCAGUUGAUGUUAAUAACUAUAUUCACUUGAUAUAACAAAAACUGGAGUACCUUCCUAUAGUCGUGAAAAUUCCCAUGGAUAGGCGCCACCUUGCCUUGUGGAAUCAUCCAGACCUCAUCUGACCUUCCAGCUAUUAGAUGCUUAUCGUGACUAAGCUGCUCAAGGUGAAAGGAGGGCUAUUAGCUGUGAAAAUGAUCCAUGGCUGGUCAAAAAUUGAAGUAUUUUGACAACAAAAUCAAUCUUACCAUCUCAAUUGCUCCUUAGAACAAGACCGGACCUUGAAUGAGCACCUCAGCCACAUCCAAAUCCUCCAGUUGUGGAUAGGCAAAACAGCAGAGUCGCACUCACUCAUCCUUGGACAAGAAACUAACAGUUUACAAAGAUAAUUCUUCAGUAGUCACUACUCAUUAAAGCAGAGCUUAAAGACCACAUUUAUAAACAGAGCCCAAUACUACCUACAGGCACAGAUAUCAUAACUCUUUGGUAUUACGGAUUACUCCAAUACGAAAAAACUGAUCAGGCUAACUAUUCUAUUCCAAAUAUUUUCCAAGUUGAAAUGAUUAGAUUGGUUUCUGUUCCAUUAUAAGUUAGAUAUAUGAUGACAGAACAGAGACUCUCUAUAGUUGUUAUCACUAAUUGAUUCUCUUGUAUUUUCAAAGUAACAUCAGAUUCCGAUAAGAACAACAACAGGCUAACUGAAAAAUAUUUUUAAGUCAUAAGGUGGACAAAAAGAGCAGACUUACCAGAUGAUUGGAUGGCUCAUCAAGCAAAACUAUGUGAGGCUUUUUCAAAGUUAUCUUGGCAAAUGCAACUUUGCCUUUCUAAGCACCUAUUUAUAUGGUCAAAGCACCAUGUUACAUGUGCAAUAACAUCCAAAAAGCCUCAGAGUAGUACACAGUGAACUACACUUGAGAUUGCAAAUUGACAUUGGUUGAAGUGCAAGAAGAAUGCCACAUAAGAAGGUAUUUGCAAAUAAAACGACAUGAUGUAUAACAAAAUCAUAUUAUGUAGUGUAGUAAAAGCAAACAACCGAUACUUUAAAGACUUGAAUAGAUUUGCCCUAGAGGUCACUGCUAAUAAUGCAAGCACAAAGGCAGGCAACAUAUCGUUACAAUCUCAACCAAAUAAGCACGAGUAUAUAGGCUAAAAAUUUCUAGCAAGCUGUAAACACAAAUAGAAUGGUGAUCUAUGGAAUAUCAAAGCUAUCAUGAUGGAGUUUUAUUAAAAGCUUGGAGCAAUAAGCUGCCCCAGAAAUGUGUCCCAAAUAGAUUACUUAAUACUACAAAGGAUCAUCAUCAAUAUAAAAAAAAAGGUUCUCGAUUCUAAAGAAAACCAUUAAAAAAACAAUGAAUGAGCUAGGACACAAGAAAAAGAUGGUGGGAAGAGAACAUACAAGAAACGCUGAAAAUGCAAAGACAUAUGAUUCUGGAACGCUAUAAUUCUUCGUGAUAGUGCAUCUUUCUUCACAGUUUGUUUAAGCAUCAAGCAGAGUUGAAGAUAUGCCAUCAAUAUAGCAAGAGGCAGCACUGAGUGAAUUUCGGCCUACAGUUUAUUGUCCAAUGAAACAGAGCCGAUCCAACCCAACAAGAAUGGUUUUUGUUGACCAUGAUAAUAUUUUCAUAAUUAAUUCUCCAAAAUAGUGCCAAAUAGUGAAAAUGGGGAAAAUAUAUUAAUAUAGCUUUCUCACAAAAUAGAUUUGUCUUACAAAAUAAUUUACUGUGCUAAAAUAUUCUUUUGCAAAUGAUUAAAUCAUUUUAGUGUGCAUGCGAAAACUAACUUCGGCGGCAAUAGAGUAUCAAACUUCUAGGGGCACAACAAAUGAACCUAUUGCUAGAACAAAAUGUGCAAAGAAUCAUAAAUUAUACCAAGACUGCAAUCACAACUCAGUUCUUAAGCUAUUGCAAAUGAUACUGUAUGCUCGAUGUCAAAAACUUAGACUCAUCGUUCCACAAGCCCUUGUCAAGUAUAAAUGAUAAAUAAGGGCUGGUGUAACUGUGAGUCCGUCCUGUAUAUCAGCAGCAAUCCUCUCUUCAUCCUUUUUUGCUUUCUCUAUGUAGCUAAGCCUCAUUUUCUGUUUUGUGAGGUAAUGUGAACCCACUGAACCACUCUUAGUUGAUGGCAAUAACUAGAUUCACCUGAUUCAAUAAAAAUAGGAGUACAUUCCUAUAGUCCUAGAAAUUCCCAUGGAGAGGUGCCACCUUGCCUUGUGAAACCACCCAUACCUCAUCCAAGCUUCUAGCUAUUAGAUGCUCAUCGUGACCAACCUGCAAAUCAAGGUGAAAAGAGGGCUAUUAGCUGUGAAAUGAUCCAUCAUUGGUCAAAUUGAAGUAUUUUGACAAGGAAAUCAAUCUCACCAUCAGAAUUAAUCCUUGGAACAAGACCAGACCUUGAAUGAGCGCCUCAGCCACAUCCAAAUCCUACAGGUGUGGAUAGGCAAAAAAAAAAAACAAAAACACUAAUUAUUAGACAAGAAACUAACAAUUUACAAAGACAAUUCUUUAGUCACUGGUCAUUAAAGCAAAACGUAAAGACUGGAUUUACAAACAAAAAGGGGUCCACAUAUUUGUAUGUAAAGCCCAAUACUGCCUAUAGGCACAAAGAUCAGUACCAUUUGGUAUUGUAGAUUGCUCUAUUCCGAAUAUUUUCCACAUUGGAACAAUUAGAUUGGUUUCUGUUUCAUUAUUUGCUAGUGUAUGAUGACAAGGGCUACUAGCAGCCGUGACCACCAUUUGGUUCUACUAUAUUUUUAAUGUAAAAACCAGAUUCUGACAAGUUCAAUUAGUGCAAGAACAAUAACAAGCUAACUGAAAAAGUAAUCAAAGUCAUAAAAUGGAGAAAUAUGAGUAGAACUUACCAAAUGAUAGGAUGGGUCGUCAAGCAAAACUAUGUGAGGUUGCUUGAAAGUUAUCUUGGCAAAUGCAACUUUGCUUUUCUAACCACCUAUUUAUAUGGUCAAAGCACCAUGUUAUAUGUGCAAUAACAUCCAAAAAGCCUUGGAGAAAGUACACAGUGAACUACAAUUCAGAUUACAAAUUAUCUAACUUUUAAUAGAGCUUCACAAUGUCAUAAGAACAUUGCUUCAACAAAAAAUUUAUACAUGCAACACUAGCACAGAGAGAGGAGAUUUACCAUGCAAGAUACAAAUUGGUUGAAAGGUUGAAUCGCAAGAUUUCCAGUUACUCCAAAGGAACCCAUGUCAGCUCGAACAUUUUGUUCUGGAACUCCUUUUGGGAAGAAUGCCACAUGAGAAGGUAUUUUAAGAUACAAUGGCACAAUGUAUGAUGAAAUCAUAUUAGCGAUCAAGUAAAUGGAAAUGCCAACCCAGAGGUCACUGGUGAUAAUGCAAACCCAGAGGCAAGCAGCCUAUCAUCACAAUCUCAACCAAAUAGGCAUAAGUAUAUUUGUUAAAAAUUUCUAGCAAGCUGUGAGCAACAGUUCCUAAACCACUAGAAUUCAAGACCCAACCAGCGAUUUAUGGAAUAUCAAUGCUGUCACGCGAAAGCUUGGAGCCAUGAGCUGCCUCAGAAUUUUAUCCCAGAUUGACUACUUAAUACUAUGAAGAAUCAUCAUAAAAAGAAAAGAAGAAGAAGGUUCCCAAUUCUUAAGAAUACCAUAAAAAUAAAAAACCGUAUCCAUUUUCUUCACAAUCACAUCAUAGCUUCCACAAAACUAAUCAUCCUUUUACAUUUUGAAAAAGAUUUUUUCUUAUUUAGAUCAUCUUCACCAGAAGGAAAAUUCAGAACAUAGCAAUAAAACAAAUAUAUUUAAUUGCUUCUUCCUUUAUUGAUAAAUUGCCAAAAAAAAAAAAAAAUGAAGCAAGACAAUGACACCAACAGCAUUAGCCCUACCUUAGCAACGUUCGCACGUGAUCAUUCCAAGAGAUUCUGCCAAUGCAAGAUCACAAUGGUAUCUGCAAAACAACCAGAGUGAAUGAGCUUAAGGGCCCAAGAAAAAAUAUGUUGGGAAGAGAACAGACAAUAGACGCUGAAGAUGCAGAGGACUAUAAUUGUGGAAUGCUACGAUUCUUCGUGAUGAUGCGAUUUCAUUCACAAAUGGUUUGGGCAUCGAGCAGAAAUGAGGAUAUGUCGUCAACAUAGCAAGAGGCAGCACUGCGAGCGUUUCAUCCUACAGUUCAUCGUCCAAUGAAACAGAGCCAAUCCAACCCAACGCAAUCCCCCACCCAAACAUCAGUUCGUAUUGAGCAUCGAAUUGAGAAAGUAGAAUGGAAAAGGAUGCCUUCAAAACCAAAAAUAACUUACUCAAACCCUAAGAAAACUCACUGUAGUGUAGAUGCACGAAUCAAUUUACUAGAUGUGAACGUCAGGGAUCUCUUCGAUGAGGGGCCAAUAGUCGCCAGUGAGUUUUGCACAUCGCUCUUUCAGAAUCUCGCAUCCAAGUAUCCACAAUCGUUGGAGGGAGGGAGGGAAGCCAUCCUUUGGCAAGUACCUCAACUUGGGGCAAUCUCCAAUCAAUAAACAUCGGAGAGAGGAGAGAUGGUUGCGGAGACCGCUCGAUAGUCUUUCUGUGUUUCUCAAAUCAUAUAUCGAAAGAGAGGUUAGAGAGGAAGGAAAGAGACUCCAAGCAUCCUUAUCCUCCAAAGGAAACCACUCCUUCUCUCCCUCCCCUCCCAUGUUAAACGCAACGGCUAGACUCUCGAGAGAUGUGAGCAUGGGUAAGCCCCACUCUUUCACUGGCUGCUUCAGACCCACGAGCCCCAUAAUUCCAAGGUCUCGCAAUUUGGGAGGCAGACCUCCUUUGGGGAAGGAUUUGAUAUUUUGGCAAUAGAAAAUUGUUAGCUCUUGGAGGGAGGUAAGAUGAUGCCACUUAUUUGGCAGGGACUUUAUCAUCGGACAAGCACUAAGUUUAAGACUCUGCAGGGUGAUGGGAAGGGGUGGGAAGUCCUCUAUCUCCAAUACCGGACACUGCCGUAUUUUCAAUUUAGUGAGAUUGUUACACUUGGCAAUGUUACAGUUGGCAAUAGACUUUAUCUUAGAACAAUGAUUAAGAACAAGACUCGAGAGGGUUACGGGAAGGGGAGGGAAGUCCUCUAUCUCCAGUGCUGGACAAUUAUAAAUAUCCAAUUGAGUGAGAUGGGAGAGCGUGUGAAGGCAUUGUGGUAAGCUUCCCAGAUUUUGACAAUCGUUAAUUGUCAUUGUUUCAAGCGAUUCUACGGCAAUCCCUUCCAACGAUUCCACUCCCUCACAAUUGUCUAUAUGAAGUGCCUUUAGAGGAGCAAGUCUACCCUUGGCAAAUGAAAAGGAUAUUGGAGAAUCAUAAUGAUGUAUCUUAAGAGAUUCAAGUUGAGAAAUCGAAUUAUUGCUACUCAGGUCACCUUGAGGAAUGUUUAGAGCCAUGAUUUUUGGACAAUUCUUAAUCACCAAAUGUUUAAGUGUGUGCAUCUUGCUUGGAAGCUUUUCUAAACUUGUGCAAUUCACCAAUUCCAUCAUUUCAAGAUUACAAGGUAGCUCUAUCUCUCCUUCUCCUACCACAAAAGAUAUGAAUUGAGGACAAUUUUUGAUUACUAAUUCCUGGAGGCAAGUGAGAUUUUGUGUUUCAUCUCCAUCUUGCCACAAGCAUGUUAGUUUGUCACACAGUCCUAUAUGAAGCUUCCUUAGCUUGCCCAAGCAACUCAUAAACCGAUGAUCAAAGGAAACAAGCUCUAUGAGUUUGUUAAUUUUGAGAACUGUCAAAGAAGUUAGCUUGAACAAGCUCUUUAAGAUCUCCUUACUACAAUCCUCAAGGUAUAACUUAUCGAGAGAUGGAAGACAUAACUCACUGGUUGAGUUAUUCAAUUGUUGGCAUGAAUGAAUUUCAAGCUUUAUAAGAUGAUCAAGUUGACAAGGCAAUGUCUCGACCAACAAAGGACAGCUCCGGACAACAAGAUGCUUAAGACAGGAGAAUGGGACUUCUUUUUUUGGGCCCCCCGCAUAAGGAGACCAAUCCUUCCAUGCCAACAUCUCUUCGAACUGCAAAGUAAUUAACGACGAAAAAGGACUAUCACCUCCGUAAAAAUUAGAGCCUAUUAUUCUUACUGCAUUUAGACCUUUAAGAGAUAAUUCUCUCAAUGAAGGUAGUUGUCCAAGUGAAGGCAACAAUGUGACAUAAGGACAGUCCCACAAGCUCAAAGACACUAUCCGAAAAUAGGAUGAACCAUCUAACCAUGAUGGGAAUAUUGCACCGCCAUAGUUCAAAAUAGUGAGAUUUUCAAUAUCAAUGGGAGGUCGCAAAGACUCAAGCACCCAUGAUUCGAGCUUAUCAUUUCGAAGAAUUCCAAAAUCUUUAUCCCAAUCCAAGAAUAAUUUUCUUAGGCCUUGCUUUCCUUCCAAAUUAGCAUCAACAGCAUCUCUAACAUCUUCCACCUUUUGUAAUUUUGAUAUGCAUAAUUCUCCUUGAAGACGUGAUAGGGCCUUUAACUCCUUUAACUUUAGCCAUUUCUCUGUUCCUACCAUAAACUUGGACAAUAUAGUAAGAUUCUUCAAAUUACCGAUACCUAGUGGCAUCUCUUUUAGACUUUGUGUAUCUCUAACAUCAAGAAACUGUAAGCUGACCAACUUUGUGAUACUGUUGGGCAACAUUGAAAGUUUAUGACAAUCUCUUAAGAUCAAAGCUUGUAAUUUGCACAAGUUGCCAAUAGUCUCAGGUAGCCUUUCGAUAUAAGUGUUCGAGAAAUUGAGAUAUCGAAGAUGUUUUAAUUCAUGAACACAAUUUGGUACCUCUACGAUUUUACAAUGACAUAAUGAAAAAACCCUUAGAAACUUCAAGUUUGUUAGCAACUCAUGUAGCACCUUGUCGGAUAUAAGGAGAGAGUUCCCACUAGAUCCAAUACGCACCAAAAUUAAACUUCUUAAUACCUUCAUAUCAUGAUAUGCCCACAAGCAUUUUGAUGUAACAAACCGCGACCAGAUGAAUGAUGCAUAACGAGCUCUCUCCAAAGAUGCAUAAUCUUCAUUAAUUGCCGGUUGAGACUCCCUAGAGCUAAAGCAUAUCCCACCCUCAAUUGACUUUGCUAGAUCAUUCAAAAGAUCAUGCAUUGAAAACUUAGAUGUGUCAACACUUGAUUUUUGAAGAAAUGAUCUUGAUACUAAUUCAUCGAAGUAAUUCCAUCCUAAUUCCAACUUAUUUUUCUUUGUUUUUUGUCCAUCUAAAAAUCCCUCCGCUAUCCAUAAGAGUACUAGCUCAUCCCUCUCAAUUUCGUAAUCCUUAGGAAAUACUGCACAAUAAGAAAAGCAUCUCUUCAAAUAGGAAGGAAGAUGGACGUAGCUCAAUUUCAAAAUAGGGAGAACCUCAUCAUUCUUUGUCGUUGGAAGAUCCCAUAUUAUGUUAUUUAAGGUAUCUUCCCAUUCACUGGGAUUCAUUUUAUGACGUAGGACACCGCUAAACAUCUUCGCUGCCAAAGGUAAACCUUUACAUCUUUUAGCUAUUUUCUUGCCUAUUGUUUCAAAUUCCGGGUGGCUCUUAAAAUUUGUUGCUUCAAGAGCAUGAAAGGCCAAUAAGCUUGUACAAUCAUUGAGGGACAAUUCCUUCAAAGGAAUUGGCGGUGCUUUUGUUACUGAAACAACAGCAUGGUUGCGAGUCGUAAUAAUAAUCUUGCUUCCCCUAGCACCCACUACAAAUGGCUUCAAGAGAUCAGUCCAUUUUUCGUACUUCUCAUUCCAAAUAUCGUCUAGAACCACAAGAAACUUCUUUCCGAAAAGAUUGUCCCUCAACUUAACUUGAAACUCGUUUAGAUCUUUGCCCUCACAGGGCAACCUAGUGAUUGACCGUAAAAUAGUCUUUGUUAUGUCGAGAACAUCAAAAACAUCUGAAACACAAACCCAUGCUCUCAUCUCAAAACAUCUAUUCACUCUUGCAUCAUUAUACAGCUGUUGAGCCAAGGCAGUCUUUCCAAUACCGCCCAUCCCAACUAUGGGGACUAUGCUUAGCGUGGCAUUAGAAUUUUUGACCUCAUUGAUCAAUAGUUCGAGUAUUUGUUCUACAUCCUCCUCCCUACCAAAAAAUUGAGGCUCUGAUAGAGAAGUGGUUAUCCUUUUACUGGUGUAGUUGGAUUUGUCCACAGCAUUCUCUCUCAAGUUUAAAUGAACUUUUCCAGAGACAAUCUCUUCCAACCGGUCAUUGAUCUCUUGUACCUUGGUUUCAGACAUGAGCGAGGGUGGUCGGCCAAAUACAGAGAACUUCCAUUUCCCCAAACAUUUGCUUGUGCUAGAUUCUGCCUCUGACUCAACUUGAGCAGCUUUGAUCUCAAACUCAUCGAGCAAGUCUUCUAUGUCGUAGGCCAAGUCCUUAACCUUGUCCAGCCACAGCUUCACUUGAUGGUUACCACUAAGUUCCUUGUCCUCUACAUCAGCCAACACUGCAUUGAUUAUGACUAGCUUCUCCUUCCACACCUUAGGCAAGGUAGUGCUGAUUCCUUUAUGUUGUGCAUAACCUAAUGUGGAAGAAGCCAACUUGUCGAACAGGACCUGAAAGGAUGAAGCCAAAAAGGAACCCAACACGAUCCCUCCAAUGUCCAUAGGUGAAUCAGUCACUGUAAUGAACAACAAAGGUGUUAUGGUGAAGCAAAGUGAAAAUGAACUAAUGGAGAGAGAAAACUAUGAAGUCCUAGGAACACUGAGAUGAUGACCUACGAAGAAGAUUAUAAAAAAAAAAAAAAAAAGACCAAGACUUUCAAGGGAUGCACAUCAAAAGUUAGACAAAUCAAAAUAAAUACUAUUUGUCCACAAGUGCUAGAUACAUCAAUUACUCUCUUUAUUCUUCGGAUCAAGACUUUUUGGCUAUUGGAUCUUUACUUUUGGCCAUCCAAAACAGAGUCUUAAUAUGACCAACUUAGAGUGUAUGCAUAUUUUUGCCAUAAGUGUUAUCACUCACGAGUGUUUUGUUGACUUCUUUAGCGUUUGUAUAUUCUUAGUAACCUCAUGAUUUCAAUAUAUUUGUUUUCUGCUUUAUUGGUGAAUAUGAGAUUAAUGAAGUCUUUUACAUGGGAGUUUCUAUGCGAAAGAUUCAUAGCAAGAUGGGUGAUAAUGAUUUGUUGAAGUGUGUUGAGGUAGUGGUUGAUAAUCAGGAAUCACCUUGAUAGGAGAAUCGUGAUCCUUUGAACACGAUUAUCAAGUUCAUUAGUGUAAUGGGUAGAGUGUGACAUCCAGUGGAUUAUAUGUUGAUAAUACUGGACUUGUUUACCGUUUACAGAGAAAGCAACUUGCUUGAUGGAUUAGUCGGUGUGCUUAUCCCUUUUUUCUUAUUUAGCGAUGUAUGAAGUUGACCAAGUUAAUAGGAUCAGCAAAUAAGCAUAUUUGUGCAACUUAGUAAAAUAAAUGCUUUUGAAACAUAACAUACUGAGGAUUCGCCCAAUAAUGGCAUCUUAUUUUCUGUUAUACUUAUACAUGUUAUCAAAGACAAUUAACUUUGUCUAUCCACUAAGGAGAAUAGAAACACGUGCUUUAGGCUAAAUAAGGAAAAGGGUCAAGCACACCGACUAAUUAAUUAAGCAACUUGCUUUAUUUUACUCUGCAAAUAAUGAAUAGUCAGAAAUCACCAAAUGACAAUGUAUAAUCUACUGAAAAUUAUACUCUACCAAUGACACCAAUGAACAAGAAAAUCGAGUUCAAAGGACCAUGAUUCUCGCUUCAAGCGAUUCCCCAUCAUCAACUACUAACCCAUCACCUUUCAGCAGAUAUUGCCGCCCAUCUUGCUGCAACUUUUUCUUCUUUUUCUUUUUCUUCACAAGUGCUUGUUCUGUAAUAUUUAGAGAUUAUCCCCAUACAUAUGUAGUAUCCACGAUCAUAUACUUGUUCAUAUAAAAAAAAUCAUAAACUCGGGAAGACCAAAACUUCACUGGGUAUCAUGAACUUUUUUGUCAUGAAAGUGAAGUAUAAAUGAUAAAGAGCUUAUGGGAAAGAAAAUUUAAUAAAAUCGAAGAAGACUAAGACUUACGGAGAUGCAAAUUGGAUUUGUUGCUUCACUUUUCAAAUCCCUCCUCUUCCGUUCCCAUGUGAAUGUCUUUUUUACAUUACUAGUAGUUUUCCACGCGUUACAUCGAUGCCAAUUUUUAUUUUUAUUUGUUUAUGUGUGUGUGAUUGACAAUUAGCAGUGAUUAUUGUUCUCUUGCUCAAAUUGACAAAACUAUAAUUUUAUUCCAACUUUUGUCAUUUUUAAUCAUAUUGUGAUUAAUCAUUCAUUAAUCUCUGUUGUACUUGUCUAUUGGAAUUAUGUCUAGAUUUCCAUUUAUCUUUUCAAAUAUAAGUCUAAUAAAUGGAUAAAUAGCAAGAAGAAAAACUAAAUAAGAAAAACAGCAAAAAACUGAUGAAGAAAAAAAAAAUGCAGGAAUGGGGCGAUAAUACUCUUCGUGACUCAUGGAGAGUUCCACUUCACAUUUUUGUUUUUGUUUUGUUUUUUUAUGAAGAUGCAAUCUAAAUUUAUUAAUAUGCAAGAUAUGAUUUUCCCAAAUUUCCCAAGUUAUAGCAUGUGAUUUAUCAAAGGAAAUGUGCAAAAAAGAGAAUUAACAAUAAUGCACUCCAAAAAGCCUAGAUGCGCAUGAUAAAUGCUUAUCCAUGAAAAUUCUAAGUUUUCUAAUAUAAUUGUCCUGAUACGGAUAUAAUGCAAUUCUAUGCUAAUAUGUAACGAAAAAUCAAAAAAUAAAGGUCUGAGUUUUGGCUGAAAUAAUUAUGCGUGCAGAUGUAUCACCUGAUUAAAACAAAAUUAACAAAUCACCAUUCAUUAUGCAAUCAAGCUGCAACUUUAACCUGACCAGCAAGUAUAUGGCAUCAACUUUGCUAUUAAACUUGCUGCGUCAGUUCAAGGGAAAAAGAGAGCAAGUAGAUAGAUGUCUUUUACCUAUUCCAAGUAGACUUCCUGGAGCUGACCAGGCAAACGAGAUUAGAUCCACAACAGCAAUCCAGCAAGCACGAGCGCUAGGUUUGGCAGUUCACUGUGUACGCGUGCGUAUUCAGCUACGGCAAUGCGUGGUUCGCUGCUUGCAACGACGAACGAUGGUAUUGAUUGAGCGACGACUGGAGAUGGUGGUGAUUGGCGACAAUCGAUAUGCAUGCAAGAAAGAAUUGAAUGAGAGUGGAGUCUGUGGGCGUGAGUUUGAUGAUGAUGGUGGUGGUGGGUGGUGGUGGAUGAAGAAAAAGUGAGGCGGUGCGGUUUUAAAGAAAGAGGCAAGGAGAAUCAAGGAUGAAUUCUGCCGUGUGUGUUUUUCUCUCGGAGGUUCCCAUUUAAUCUUUGCUUUUCUUUUCUUUUUCUUUUUUUUUAUUUGGGGAAUAAAUUCGAACGAACCUAGUCCUAUUUGUCGAAAUUCUGGUAUAGGCUUAUAAAAUGCUUUAAUUCCAAUAAACUUCUUCUUUGGGAGGAAAAUCGGUUCCAGUUUUCCAAAAAUAUAUGAAAACCACUUUUGGGCAGAAGUUAGGUAUUGACAAGUUUUAACAAUUAAAUGAUUAUUCCUAAGCUAUUCAUACUUAUUUUGCGGUAACUCGAGAUUUCUUGCUCUAAUUAGGGCAUGUUUGAUAACGAUUCUGAUUCCGGAAAUAAUUUUUGAUCAGAAAUGGUUUUUUUUUUUUAAUUUCUGUUCCUAAGAACAAUUUCUAAAUACAAGAACGUGCUUGGUAAUUGCACAAAAUUUCCAUUCUUAGGAAAGAAAUGCGUUUGGUGGAAUUGUAUAAUUUUGUUGUUUCUUUUCAUUUUUUAAUAUUUUUAUUAUAUUUUUCCUUUUUUUUCUUCUUCUUUUUUUUUUUUUUUACAAUUCCUCCUUUGUGGCCGGUUGUCAGUGGCCGGCAACUAGCUAGGCAAGGUCCGGCGAGCUCGCCGAAGCCUUGCCAAACCAAGGCGAGGGCCGACGAGCUUGCCGGAGGCUCGCUUGGCCACUGUGAGGCUCGAUCUCACCUUGGCUGGCCGAGCUCAAGCUUGCCCAAAUCUUGUGAGGCUGAGCAUCGCCAUGGCUUGGUGUCGUUGGGGGCUAGCGAUGCUCCAGUGAGAUCGCUGGCCCUCAUUGGCCGGUUGCUGGCCAUGGCCAAGGUUGGCAACCGGCCAAAAGGAAGAAGAAGGAAAUGAAAGAGAAGAAGAGAAAAAAAAAAAUAUUCCCAAGAGCAAGAAGCUAUUUUUUUCUACUUCUUGUUUCUGUUCCAAAUCUAUUCUCGGGAACAAAAAUUUUACCAAACACGUUUCUAUUUUUUUCUGUUCCCUAGAACAAAAGAACAAAAAUAGUUGUUAUGGGGGAAUAGAAACAAUUUUUACCAAACAGGUCCUAAGUUGCUAGAAGAAAGAACCCACCUCGCUAAUAGUAGGCUGACUGACAGUUGACCUACAAAAGCAAGCCCAAAACCCACGAGAUGGCGAGAGAAGGAGAUGAGACGGUUUUGGCGAGACCAAGACAGAGAAGAGACACAACGGCAUCCACGGGAUAGAAAAAAGAGAAAAUUUGAGAGUGCCAUUGGAGAAAGACGAAUGACUAGAGAGACAAAGAGAGAGGGGCCAAAUCUGAGAGUGAGAACUAGAAAAGAAAGCAGAGCUUAAAUAGACAAGAUUUAGGAUUGGUUUUGACCCGGCUCAAAACCAGUUUUCCCCGAGAAUUACCUUUGCAAGGCCGGCUCAUGGGUGUUACAACCAGUUCAUAUUAUGAAACCAAGAAGUGAACCGAUGAAGGCCGAUUCAAAGAAGUUCUAUUUGGAACUAAACUGGCCCCCAUGUGAACGGCCUCAAAAUUAGUCGUGUUCCAUUCAUUUCCCAUAUUGAAUAGGUCCAGUUACUCACCUUUUAUAAAAUGUCAUAAAUGAAGUCUAACGGUAAACAUUGUAAAAUUAAUCAAUUGAUUAGCAGAAUGGGAAGGACCAUCACAAAGCAUAGAGUUCUUUUGAUCUAAAUAAAGUAGAUAUCCCCAUUCCAAGCAAAGCUCUAAUAGGAUUUCGAAAAAAAUAUUUAAAAAUAAGAGAUUUAACAUUUUAAGAUAAAAAGCCUUGUCACCUUUGAAGAUCAUGAGGUCAUUACCUCAAACCUUACCCCACAUCAACUAGUGUUUACGUGUUGAAUCGAAAAAUCAAAAUCGCGGUUAUUUAGUGGAAAAUUUUCAAGCCUUGGUAUGUUCAACAGUUUAUAGUGGAGUCAGAAAGAAAAUGUCCAUCACACAAUGCUGUAUGUCUCUUCUCAGCCUACUCAAAUCCAAUCUAUUUGGACCCCUUAGAGGUUCUAAUUGAGGAGCAGGCAGAAUCAUUCUCCUUGAACAAUGUCAGAAAAAAUGCUCUCAUCUGAUGUGGAUGCCUAACUAACCUUCUUAAUGGUGCAAAUUUUUUAUAUAAUUUGGCCAGGGCAGUUUGUGUUUGAAAUUCGAAGAGAGAAAAAGAAAAAAGAGAGGCGCUUUAAGGUUCUUUUGUGAAGAUGAUCCGUAUGAUUUUACUUGUUCAACUUUUUAUUGUUAGUUUAUGUCACUCACAUCCCGGCUGAAUCGUGGUCCCAACUCCUAACUUCAGCUUUUACAAAAUCCCCCGGAUGUGUAAAAGAGUACAUCCAAUUUAAUAAGUCAGCAAGUUGACAGUGACAAUAUUUUUGUAGAAAAAUUAUAUUAGAUUAAAUUAGAUGAUUAAUUUUUUUUCCAACUUUAUUGUAAAUUUAUAUGGACAAUUAAUGGAAUGGGAAGUGGGAGGGAAUUGAGUUUUGUGAUGACGUGGCCCAUCCAUUAAGUUCCAUUCUUCUUAACUUUCUAUUGUUUAUGUGUGUGGUUUCACCAACGAGACGUUACAAAAUAGAACGAAAAAAGGUAAUCACGAUGGCUCGAAUCAGCUAAAUUGUAUGUAAAUUACUUAUCAAUACUUACGUAUUAUAAAAGAUUCAUAUGUUUCAAGUCAAAAUAUGUAAAAAUGUGUCGGAGACAAGACUAGAAUAAAUAAAAUGUAAAACUCUAUCCAGACAAACUUUCAGGUAUUUUGUUGACAUAUAUGCAAGCGAAGAGCUUGAAAUCCGCUAGAGAUGGUGAAACAUAUCAUUGUCCAUCGAUUUUGGUGUGUUUUCUUCCCCCUUUUCCCCCUUUCCUUACUUUUCAGUUUUCCCUUUCCUGAAGGCGACCAGAAAACACAAAUUUUCCACACUUGCCCUUUCAUAUAAGCUGGACUUAAUCAUAAACUAAAGCAUGCAAAUAUAUAAUGGAGAAGCAAAUAAGGAAUUGAAAAAAAUUGAAGUCAAGAUCUCCUACUUUAAUAUCAUAUAAAAUUUAGUCUCACUAUUGUCAAAACUAAGCUUUCAAAAGUAGAUAUAGUGACGACCAUUUGAAAUUAAGUCCAAAUUUAUGAGUAUUGUCAUGAGCUUCUCUUGUUCAACAUGAGACUAAAGAUUAUGCAAAACAUUUGGCAAGAUGCUUGACCUCAAUUAGCUGUUGGAUCUCAUAACUUCCCUUCCACGUUAGUUGCAUGUCUAACAUUUCUAUGGGUAUCAAUUUAAUUAUAUGUCAUUCCAUUUCUUUCUAACCCUUCCUUGCUCCACUAGGAUUUCGGAAGGAAUUAUGUAACAUAUAAGUACAUAUGUGCCUAAUGAUUCUUCAUAAGAUUAGUAACUUUCUACAAGAAAUUCAACUUUAAUCCAUGACUACUUACUAACUUGAUUACAUUCGUAGUGUUUUGUAGAAAAGAUAACUUUUCUAUGCUGAUUCUUAUCUAUCAACAUAUAAUAAUAAAAAGAAAAGAUAAAUUUUGAACAUAACUGAUGAUAUCUGCUUAACUUUUCUAUGCUGAUUCUUAUCUAUAUUUUCAAAUUUAAGUUUAAGAAAAAAGAGCAAAAAUAAAUAACUGAUAAAAAAAAAUUGCAGGAAUGAGGCGAUGAUACUCUUUGUGACUUGCGGAGUUUCACUUCGAAUUUUUAUUUUAAUUCUUUUAAACAAAGAUUCGAUCUAAAAUUAAAAAUAUGCAAGAUAUACUUUUCCUAGAUUUUCCAAUUUAUAACAUUUGAUUUAUGAGAGGAAACAUGCAAAUAUGACAAUUAAUAAUAAUGUACUCUAAAUGGCCUAGAUGUGCAUGAUAAUGCUUGUCCAUGAAAAUUCUGAGUUUCUAAUAUAAUUGUCCUGAUACUAAUAUAAUGCAAUUCUAUUCAAUAUGUAAUGAAAAAUCAUAAAAUAGAGGUCCAAGUUUGGGCUCAAACAAGUAUGCGUGUAGAGGCAUCACCUUAUUAAAACAACUCAGCCAUAUCAACAAUCAAGCGGCAACUUUAAUCUGGCCAGCAAGUAUUUGACAUCAAAAUCCCUCGAUUUUGUUGUUAAACUUGCUGCAUCAGUUUGAGGGGAAAAGAAAGCAAGUAGAUGGAUAUCUCUUACCUAAUCCAAGUGGACUUCCUGGAGCAGAUUGGUGAACUGGAUUAGAUCGACAACAGCAAUCCAGGAAGCGCGAGAGCUAGGUUCAGACGAGUUGGAGGAGAACACUGUUGAGCAAGGGAACGAGCAUGGGUUAUGGUGAAGCAAAGUGAUAAUGAGCUAGUUGAGAGAGAAUAUUAUAAAGUCUAGGAAGGCCAAAACUUUCACUUACCAAAAACAUUAAACAAAGACCAAGACUUUGAAGGGCACACACCAAUAGUUAGAGGAAUAAAAAUAAAUUUAUUUUUUUUCCAUAGGUGCUUGUCUCCUCAUGUCUAGAGAUUAUCCCAAGAUAUCUUAAAUGAAGACCCAGACUUUUUGUUGCCCAUCUACCAGUCAUCAGAGACAGCUAAUUUUGUCUGAUCAAUAAGGAAAACAUAAGCACGUUCUUUGCACCUAAACAUCUACAAGUCAUGCACACUAACUAAUCCAUAAAGCAACUUGAUUUAUUUUUCUCUGAAAACAGUAAACAAGUUAAAAAAAGCCACCAACGAAUAUUUAUAACCUACUGAAAAUAACUCUUUAAGCAUGACAUUAAUGAACUGGAAAAUCGUGUUCAAUCCCUACGUGGGAAGGAAACUUUAAUGAAACCCAGGAAGUCCAAGACUUUGCAGGAUGCAAACUGGAUUUGUUGCUUGGCUUUUCCCAUCCCUCUUCUUCCAUCCCUAUGUGAAUGUUUUUUUUUUUCCAUUACCAGUAGAAUUUCCAAUCACAUGGAUUCUAAGUGAUUUUUUGUUUGAAUGAAAUAUUAUUUGACAAUUAGUAUUGAUUGUUGUUCUCUUGCUUAAAAUUUACCAUACUACAAUUAUUGUCGAACUUUCUUCAUUUUUAGUCACUCUGAUUUUCCCUUCCUUAAUCUCUAUUGUACCUGUCUUUAUAGUUAUGUCUACAUUUUCGUUUAUCUUUCCAAGCUAAAGUUUAAUAAAAGAAAGAAAAAGAAAAACCUGAAAACCCCCAAAAAAAAAAAAAUGCAAGAAUGGGGCGAGAGAGCGCGCCAUCAAUCCCAUUGUCACGGCCGCACCGUCGUGUUAGCACCACCGCCUGGGCAACUCAUCCAAUGCCGCCACUACUGUCACUGCUGGCGCUUCUAAGCGGAGCAACCAUCACAGGCAAUUGCCUCUGAUUACCUAAUAACUAACCUAAAUAGAUCUAGAGGCGAUUUCAUAAUGUAAAGGAUUAAUUCUAGGGUUAUCAGUUUCUCACGUGCAUCGUGAAAAAUUGGGUUGCACGUGGAGCUCACAUCAUUCAACAGUGAACGUGAAAUGGGCUCACAUACUCCAGGUUAACAUUUGUUACCUUUGUCCGUUGAAUAAGGAAAAGGUAACUUUGUAUGUUCGUGCCCAUUUGAGGAACCGAGGAACUUCUUGUAUUUCCAUAACAUACUCAAGUUAUUUGAUUGUAUUAUUUUCUCAAACGUACGCGAAUUAUUUAUACUGUAGCUAUCAUGUGAAAGCUUGCAUUGAUCACAUAUUCACCAAUAAAGCAUGAAAUAAAGAUAUUGGAACAAGGAUACUGACGAUAUAUGACUACUAAAAGAGCCAGAAAGCCAAUAGUAAUCAACAGAUUUUUGGAGAAAAUACACGUGCACUAUAAGUUGGUCAUAUGGAAAACAAUCACCUCUUAUUUUCUGUUUUGCAUGGCCACAAGAAAAGAUCCCCUAUUUCAAACACAGGCCAAAAGUCUUGAUCCAAAACAGAGGAGAAAAUGUGAUUUUUCUUUACAUGACCAAUUUAGAGUGCAUACGGAUUAUCGUUAAACAUUUAUUACAAGUGUCUCAUUGGCUUUUUUUUUUUUCAUCCAUACAUUCUCGAUGGCCGUAUGUGUUAAUGUCUUUGCUUUAAGCACUAUUGGUGGAUAGGCGAUCAAUAUAGGUCUUUACGUGGCAGUUGCGCGCUGAAAAUUUGCAGCAAUAUGAGCAGCAAUGAUCGGCUGAAGGGGGAUAAGCCAGUAGUGGACGAUAGGGAACCGCUUGAUAAGACAAUUUUGAUCCUUCACAUGAUUUUCCUGGUCAUUAGUGUGAUGCGUAGAGUAUAAUCUCUAGUAGAUUAUACCUUGUUAGUUGGCAAUACUUGACCCUUUUUUAUUUAGCAAUGAAUAAAGCAGACCAUUGUUUAAAGGACCAGCAAAUAAGCAUUUUGUGCAACUGGCGUAGACUACAAUAAGCAUCUUCGGUCAACUUGCAUGGACUAAAAUAAAUAUUUUUGAAAGAUAAAAUAUUAAGGAUCCACAAAACAAUGAAAUCUUACUCUUUAUUAUAAGUCUGCAAAUUACCAAAAACAGCUAAUUUUGUCUGUUCGAUGAGGAGAACGGAAACACAUGUUUUGGGCUAAACAAAAAGGGUUUGGCACACCAGCUAAUCCCUCAAGCAAUAUUUUAGUCCUAAAAUAAUGACAGCCAGCUAAUAUAUCAAGCAAGUUGCUUUAUUUUAGUCCUGAAAUGGUGAACAAGUCGUAAAUCAUCAACUAAUUCAUUAAGCAAGUUACUUUGGGCCAACUUUGUCUGUUCAAAGGACCACAAUUCUUUUAACAAGCAAUUCAUGAUUAUCAACUUCUUUAGCACCCUGCAACGGAUCAUUGCUGCCGAUCUUUCUGCAAUUUUUUUAGCUCUAUAGCUGACAUGUAAGAGCCUAUAACUACAAAAAUAAAUAAUAAUAAUAAUAAUAAUAAUAAUAAUAAUAAUAAUAAUAAUAAUAAUAAUAAUAAUAAUAAUAAUAAUAAUAAUAAUAAUAAUACUAAUAAUAAUAAAAUAACAGCACACUUAGAAGUUAUACUCUUACAAACGAUAGCCAAAAGUCUUGAUAUAGAGAAAAAGGACAAAAUUGAUUUAUCUAACUCAAGGACAUAAUGUGCAUCAAGGUCCUCUCUUCGGUCUAACUCAAACAGCUUGUCGUGAUAAUAUGCUCUAUUAAAAUACUUUUCAUCAGGAAGACCUAGACUUUGAUCGGAUAUCAUGUACAUUAUUAUUUAGAAAGUGAAGCAAAAAUCAGAAAGUGUUGAUCAAAAAGAAAUUUUAAUCAAUUCCAAGAAGAUCAAUAAUUUGGAGGACGCAAAUUGGCAUUAUUGCUUCACUUUUCACAUCCCUCCUCUUGCAUCCCUACGCGAAUGUCUCUUUUUCCAGUACAAAUAGCACUUUCAGGUAUUAUAUGUCUUUCUUAAAGUUAACAAUACUAUAAAUUAGCAUAAGAAGGAAGCCAUGAAAGAACCCGGAACGAUCUCUCUAUAUGUUGUAUUGGUCACUGUUGACACCUAAAUUUUGACGAUUUAGUUUAUUUAUUUAUUACAUAGGAAAUUAGGGGUUAAUUUUAUUAAUUGCAUAGCAUAUAGAUUUAUAUUUGCAUUUAUUUUGUUAUUUGCAUUUUAUCUAUUAGACCGGUGGCGGAUAUAUUCAAAUUAGAUGAAUCUUUUUUGGAUAGGGCAGAUGGAUAAAAAAUAUUGCGAUUUGUCUUUAAAAAAUUUGGAUUUAGAAAAAAUCUCAUCUUGAUCUUGAAUUCUUAUCAAUAUGAGAUGAAUUUUGUUAAAAAGAUUUGCAAGGUUGAUUCGAUGAAGAAUUUGAAAAUCCAAUUCCCUCCCCUAUAAAAGGCCGUGCGUGCGAGGGGUUUUGGGGGGUUCGUUUCUUGCUUUCGAGGGGCUUCUUUAAAAAAUUCAGAAAAAAAGUCAAGAGAGGAGCAAAAAAAGGAAAAAGCUUCUGCAGAAAGGGGGAGAAAAGAGAAGUACAGAGAGAAAGUGACGUGAGAGGAGACAGGAGGAGAGAGAAAGAAAUAAAAAAAGGGGAAGAAAGCACUGUUCUUCUUCUCCGGUGGGCUCGACUGCUGCCCGCGCUCGCUGCUCCUGCUCCGUUCGCCUCGCCCCACCUCCGCCGCACCUCCGAAGCCCGCAACCUGCAGGUCUCUCGCUCGCCAUCACCGAGCACCACCGACGCUGCUCCUGCUCCGUUCGCCUCUGCUCCCGCCGCCGCCGCCGCUUGAAGCCACCGCCGUGCUGCCUCUGGUCCAACGCCUAGCGUUCCCCUCUAUCCGGAGCAAGACCCAAACAGAUCUGUAACCACACAGACCCGAGUCCUCCGCCCGGGCGCCUUUGUUCCACGGGUCCUUGCUGCUCAAGCGCCGCUGCUGCUCCUUCGACGAGCCGCGCCUCCUGGCCCGAGCUGCUGCUUCGCCUACCAACCCAACGACCCACGAUCCACGCUCCAGCUCCGUCGCCCCUGCGAAACUGCUGCUGCCUUGCCGAUCCGCUCCACCGGCCAGACAAAGCCCUUCGCGCCUCAGCCAAUCUCUGUCCCCGAUCUGCCGUGCCGGAGCUGCUGCCCGACGCCGCUGCUCGCCCCCCUCGCCGGUGCCCGAACGUCGGCUGCUUCGCCCGAGCACCCCUGCAACGCUGCUGCCCCUCGCCGGACCUUCGCCGGAGCCGGUGGCCAGCCGCACGGACGUGAAGUUUGAAAGAAAAGAAGAAAAACAGAAAAAGAAAAAGAAAAUCUGAUUAGGUGGUUUUUCCUUCUCUUUUAUUUUACCUUUUUUUUUUAAUAUUCUGUUUUAGUGGAAUUGUUCCUUGAUAUAUUAUUGAUAUCCCAAUAUGAAAUAGUCUAUCAAGCACUAUCAAGCUAGGGAUUGACAGUCCGAUUUUCGCGCCCGAAAUCCGACUCGCAAUCCCUUAUAAAAAUCGACAAUCCAAUCUCAAGCCCGAGAUUUGAUUCGCGAUUUAAAAUUAAAAUUGGUCUACCCGAUCUCAUGCGCGAGAUAUGGUUCGCCAAUUUUUGGAUAUCAAUCUUAUCUUUUAUUUGAUUUGCUAUCGUCAAGUUUGGUUGAGUCAAAUCUUAUUUUCAUAAAAAUAAAAAAUCAAAAAAAUCUUAAUUAGGAUUAGGUUUGUUGUCAUCUUGCAUAUUUAGGAUUGCAAUCUUAUUAUGAAUUUUUUAAAUAAAAAAAUCAAAAAAAAGAAAGUACAAUCAUUUAGGUUGUUAGUUUUUUUAUUUGAAUUGCAUGUUAAUUAUGUGAAAACUUUAAUUUCGAAAUUAAUUAAAAAAAACCCAUAAAAAAUCAUUGUGCAUAUUAGAUUAGAAUUGCAUGCUUCAUUUUAAAUUUAGAUCAUCUUUUUUAAGAUAAAUGGCAUUUUAGAUUUAGAUAAUAUCUUAGUUUAAAUUAGGAUUUAAUAUGACUUAAUCCCUAGUUUAAAUUAGAUAGAAUCUUAAUUUAGCUAGAUCAUUUGAAAUUUCAUAAAAUUUGUCUUAGGAUAAAUUAGUUGCAAUUUCUAAGAUAGAUUGCAUUUUUUAAUAAAAAAUGUCAUAUGCAUAUGUCAUGUAGAAUUAGAGCAUUCUUUGCACGUCAUUGCAUGCUAAGAUUACAUAUUAUAGGUUUAGAUAAUUUCUCCUAAAUAGAUUGCAUGCUUAUUAGGAAAAUAAAAAUCAUGUGCACGUCAUAUAAAAUUAGUCUCAUACAAUGCACGUCAUUUAGUGAUUUUUGUUAAGUGCAUUUAAUUAGAAAUUGCCCGUCAUUAGAAUUAGGUCAUUAGAUUAAUUUAGAUUGCAUAUUUAAAUGUUGCAUUUCUUUAAUUUCAAAUCUCAUAGAAAAUAAAAAAAAUAUAUUUUGAAUAAAUCAUCUCAUGCUUAGGAUAGAUCACAUGCUUAAUUAUGUCAUAUUGCUUAAGUCAUAUAGCUAAGUCAUGUUGCCAUGUCAUAUCAUUUCAUGUUAAAUUAGUGGCAUGCAUUGCAUAUUGCAUGAUUUUCAUUAAUUAAGUGAAAACAAAAAUUAAGUAAUUGCUUGUUAAUUAGAAACCAUAUCUAGGAUUGUUGAUAUGGAUUUUAAUUUAACACUGCAGAUGCUUUCGUUGCUUUGAGGUAAGUUCUGCAUCAUUUAUUUGCUUUAUUGGAUGUUAAAUUGGUGGUUUGCGCACCCGCAUGGUCGCCUCACAUGUUAGGGAAUUAAAAUCAAUUCAAACUGCUUGCCAAACAUUUUUGAAAAUAAAAAGAAUGGUACCGAAAGGGCAUUAGAGAAAUCUAAUGUAAUCAAGUCCCCGUACCCAUAAUCUCUGGUUCGUAGAAGUAAAAUAAUUCUCUCAUUAUUUUACUUAGGUGUCUAAUCGACCUACCAAAAAUAGAUUAGUGGCGGCUCCUAAUUGAAAAUCAAUUGCAUGUUAUAAACUUGAACCUAAGUCGCGAAUUGGUAUGGGCUUGGGAGAGCCCGAGUUAAGUCUAGGCUUAACAAUCCAUUAGCCAAACCCUAGGUGGUUCGUAACCCAAAAAAAAUUUGGUCGCGACAGUCACUGAAGAAAACGACAAGGUAUAUGGUGAAGGUAGGUGAUAAUGAGCCUAUGGAGAGAGAAAACUAUAGAGUGCAAGAUGACCAAAACUUUUACCGACCAAAAAGAUUAAAAAGAGACCAAGACUUUCAAGGACGUACAUAAGAGGUUAGACAAAUCGAAGUAAAAUAUUUUCUCUCCACAAGUGCUUAUUUCAUGAAUUGUUCGCCUUUUUCUUCAUAUCAAGAUUUUUUUUUUGUUUUUUUUAAUAUGACCAAGUCCACGCAUGUUUUCUUUCCUAACCUGUGUUUUGUUGGCUUUUUGGCUUUGAAUGCAUCUGUAAAUUUCUAGCAUCCUAAUGAUUUCUACAUAUCGUUGAAUAUGCAAUCAACGUGGGCUUUUUCGUGGCCGUUACAGCCCUAAAAAGUCCCAAAUGUUUAAGAAAACAAUUACCUUGAGUAUAUUAUGGAUAAAUAAGAAGGUGCUCGAUUAGUCCUUUAAUGUGGACGAACAUGUAAAGUUCUUGCCGAAAGAUUAGCAAAUAUUUUAGCGGUGAAGGAAGCCAACCAUCAUAAUUGGGACUGGCAAAUGAGCAUCUUUGUACUGAUUGCACUAACUGAAUCUUCAGAUAAACAUUUUGAAAGAUACGCCAAGCAAUGGCAGCUUAGUUUUUGUUAUACAUCUACAAGUCAUCAUGGGCGGUUAACGUUGUGUGUUGGAUAAGGAAAAUAGAAAUAAUUGCUUAAGGAAAAGUAAACAUUAAAAUAACAUAAAUUUAGUUCUACAGAUCUUCACAUUUUGUCAAUUGAGUUUAUCUAGUCAAUUUUGGUCGGAAAUCGCUUAUGUGGAUAUCGGUUGUCCUACAUGACAUGACGGGUUUUGAUGUAGGUAAUUAAUAUAUUAAUAUUUUUUGAAAGUCUUUUUUAUUUUUUUUCCUUUUCUCUUCUUUUUUUUUUCGUUUUUUUUCCCUUUCAUUGACCAUCAAUGAGGCGAUGGCCGGCUAAUGGAAAAAGGGAAAAAGAAAAAAAAAGAAAAAAAAAGGUAAAAGAGAAGAAAAUAAAAAAAAUAAAGAAGGAAAAUAUAAGAGAAGAAAAAAGGAAAAAGAAAACAAAUGAAUAAAAAAGGGAAAAUUCCAAACAAUGGCCUAAAGUGCUAACAGUUUCUCAAAUAAGAGUUUAAAAUGGAUUUUGUGUCAAAUAAAAACCUGAAGUGACCAUAAUUGUUUCAAAUAUGGGCUUGAAAUAGCCAUGAUUAUUUUAAAUAAGGGUCUGACCAUGUCAAUUGCUAGCCAGCUUUGUAUUUUGACCGAUUAAAGGGCGCAUUCAUCUAAAAAUUUUACUUUAAAUUAUUCUUAUUCUCUUAUUUUUCUUUUUCUUUUUUCUUUUUAUAUUUUCAAACAAGGGCCGCACGACCGCUAACGAGGGUCAGCGAGGGUUACAUGGCCCUUAGCGACAGCUUGUAAGGGCUGGUGAGGGCUUGACGAGCCUUGUCGACCUCACUUGAGGCAAGGGUCGCCUCACCUAGGCAAGGCCAUCCCUCAUUGGCCACUAGUGAGGGCUGACCUUGUCAACAGUUGCCCUUGCCUAUGGUCGGUGAGGGUGGCCCUCAUCUAGCUCUCUCCAAGCAUUGCUAGUGCCUGGCCGGCCACCAACGAAGAAGAAAGAAAAACUAGAAAAAGGAAAAAAAAAUAAGGAAAAAAUUCAAAAAAUAUAGAUGAUGAAAAUGCCUUUAAGUAACUAAACAGUGAAGCUCUUAUUUGAAAUAGAUAUAGCCAUUUCAUGCCCUUAUUUGAGAAAACGAUGGCGCUUCAAGUCUUUGUUUGAAACAAAGUUCACUUCAGACUCUUAUUUGAGAAAAUGAAGGUAUUUCAGGCCCUUAUUUAGAAUUUUCCCAAAAAUAUAUUAAAUAAUAUUAAAAUUGAUUGCGUCAAUGCUAAUUGUCUUGCCACAUAAGACAGCUGGUGUCAAUAUCUAUGAUUUCAGAUUAAAAUUGGGAAGAUGGAUUUAAUUAACAAAAUGUGAAAAGAUUAAUGAUUCAAUUGACACAAUUUUGACAAAAAAGAAUUGACUUAAUCAAAAAAAUUAUAAUUGAAUUGGGAAAAAGUACAAUAAAUUUAGGAAUUUGAAUAAUUUUCCCCCACCAACUAAUCCAUUGAGCAACUUGCUUUGCAAUACUGAAUGAGUUAAAAAUCACCAACUAAUACCAUAUAAUAUAUAGAAAGUUACACUACACAUCACACACAUAUAAUAUACCUGCCACACCAAACGACCAUAGAUUAAACAAAGCAAACAAAAUAAAAUACUUUCUGUGCACAACUGUUUGUUAUGUAAUAUUCGGAGAAUAUCCCCCAAAGACUUUAUUGGAUAUCCUGUGCUAUCUUGUCUGGAAAUUUCUACGCCUAACAUGUGAAGCAAAAGUGAAGCACUUAAAGAAAGACUAACAAUUGGCUCAAAAAAAAAAAGAAAAAAAGAAAGAAAGAAAGACUACCAAUUGAAAAGAAACUUUAAUCAAUUCCACAAAGAUCAAGAGAUUGCAUGAUGCUGCUUUACUUUUCGCAUCCCUUCUUUACCAUUCCUAUGUGAAUGUCUCUUUUUCCAAUACUAGCAGAAUUUUCACGUAUUACAUAUAAUUAACAAUACUAUUUCCAUGAGACUCUUUCCGUGUUUAAUCACGUUGGGGUUUUUUAUUCAUUACUCUCUAUUGUGCAUGUCUAUUGAAAUUAUGUCUAGGUUUCCAUAAGUUCGAUAAAAUAAAAAUGGCAUAAAGAGAAACGAAGAAGACAAAACAGCAAAAACUUUGAAAAAAAAUAUUAGGAAUGGGGCGACCGAGAGAGCGCCACCGAUCCCACGGCCAUUGCCACGCUGUGGUCAUCAACACCACCGCCAGGACAACUUAUUCCAACACCGUUGCUGCUGGCACUACUAGCUGGACUAAUCAUCUCACAUUUAAUUUAAUUACCCAAUUACUAACCUGACUCCAUCUAUAGGGAAAUUUUCAUUGUAAAUAAUGAAUUUUAGGUUCAUGAUUUUUCCGCUGCACUUUGAAAAGUUAGCUUUCACAAGGAGCCCACACCAUCCGAUGGUCGAUUUGAGCCGAGCUCAAAUGCUCAGGGUUCAUUCAUUAGUUUCCCCUCAUCCCGCGUCUAAGACUUUACAGGCCGCCACCAUGAAAAAAAAAAAUGGGUUUAGGCCCAAGAGACCCAAUUGGGCCAAUUCUCAUUUUAUCCCAUGAAGCUCCAUCUUAGAAGCCCAACGGACUAACUUCCUCCAGCUUAUUUAUAAAUGUUGGAGCUAGCUUAACAGGAGAAAGUAGAAUAGUUAUGAGAGAGAGAAGAAUCCAGAAAACUGGAAAAGAGAAGUAAACCCCGCGCGCGCGCGCGAGUGAGAGAGGGUUUAGGUAAUCUUUUUUGGGCUUUCUCUAUGUAGCUAAGCCUCAUUUUCAGUUUUGUAAAGGAUAUGGGAACCCAAUGAACCACUCUCAGUUGAUGGUAAUAACUAGAUUCACCUGAUAUAACAAAACUUGUAGUACCUUCCUAUAGUCCUGAAAAUUCCCAUGGAUAGGUGCCACCUUGCCUUGUGGAAUCAGCCAGACCUCAUCUGAGGUUCCAGCUAUUAGAUGCUUAUUGUGAAUAAGCUGCAAAUCAAGGUGAAAGAAGGGCUAUUAGUUGUGAAAAUGAUCCAUGGUUGGUCAAAUUGAAGUAUUUUGACCACAAAAUCAAUCUCACCAUCUCAAUUGCUCCUUAGAACAAGACCAGACCUUGAAUGAGCACCUCAGCCACAUCCAAAUCCUCCAGUUGUGGAUAGGCAAAACAGCAGAGUCGCACUCAAUCAUCCUUGGACAAGAAACUAACAAUUUACAAAGAUAAUUCUUCAGUAGUCACUACUCAUUAAAGCAGAGCUUAAAGACCACAUUUAUAAACAAAGCCCAAUACUACCUACAGGCACAGAUAUCAGAACUCUUUGGUAUUACAGAUUACUCCAAUACGAAAAAACUGAUCAGGCUAACUAUUCUAGUCCAAAUAUUUUCCAAGUUGAAAUGAUUAGAUUGGUUUCUGUUCCAUUAUAAGUUAGAUAUAUGAUGACAGAAUAGACGCUCUCUAUAGUUGUUAUCACUAAUUGAUUCUCUUGUAUUUUCAAUGUAACAUUAGAUUCCAAUAAGUUCAAUUAGUGCAAGAACAACAACAGGCUAAAUGAAAAGUAUUUGGAGUCAUAAGGUGGACAACAAGAGCAGACUUACCAGAUGAUUGGAUGGCUCAUCAAGCAAAACUAUGUGAGGCUUUUUCAAAGUUAUCUUGGCAAAUGCAACUUUGCCUUUCUGUGCACCUAUUUAUAUGGUCAAAGCACCAUGUUACAUAUGCAAUAACAUCCAAAAAGCCUCAGAGUAGUACACAGUGAACUACUUGCAAAUUGACUAACCUCUAUUAGGGCUUCACAAUGUCAUAAAACAAUUGCUUCAAAAAUAAUUUACAUAUGCAACUGUAGCGGAGAGGGAGGCAAUGUAUCAUAAAGGUAUACAUUGGUUGAAGUGCAAGAUGUCCAAUUACACCAAAGGAACGCAAGUGAGCUCGAAGCUUUUCAAUUGAAAAUCCCUGCAAGAAGAAUGCUACAUAAGAAGGCAUUUGCAGAUAAAACGACAUGAUGUAUAACAAAAUCAUAUUCCGCAAUGGAGUAAAUGCAAACAACCAAUACUUUAAAGACCUGAACAGAUUUGCCCCAGAGGUCACUACUAAUAAUGCAAACACAAAGGCAGGCAACAUAUCGUUACAAUCUCAACCAAAUAAGCACGAGUAUAUAGGCUAAAAAUUUCUAGCAAGCUGUAAACACAAACAGAAUGGUGAUCUAUGGAAUAUCAAUACUAUCAUGAUGGAGUUGUAUUAAAAGCUUGGAGCAAUAAGCUGCCCCAGAAAUGUGUCCCAAAUAGAUUGCUUAAUACUACAAAGGAUCAUCAUCAAUAAAAAUAAAAAAAUAAAAAAGGGUUCUCGAUUCUAAAGAAAACCAUUGAAAAAAAAAACAAUGAAUGAGCUAGGACACAAGAAAAAGAUGGUGGGAAGAGAACAUACAAGAAACGCUGAAAAUGCAAAGACAUAUGAUUGUGGAACGCUAUAAUUCUUCGUGAUAGUGCAUCUUUCUUCACAGUUUUUUUAAGCAUCAAGUAGAGUUGAAGAUAUUCCAUCAAUAUAGCAAGAGGCAGCACUGAGUGAAUUUCGACCUAAAGUUUAUUGUCCAACGAAACAGAACUGAUCCAACCCAACAAGAAAUCCCACUCAAAUGUCAGUCUUUGACUUUCAGUGGUAGAGCUUGCCUACAUCCUAAGAAUGGGUUUUGUUGGCCAUGAUAAUAUUUUCAUAAUUAAUUCUCCAAAAUAGUGCCGAAUAGUGAAAAUGGGGAAAUAUAUUGAUAUAGCUUUCUCACAAAAUAGAUUUGUCUUACAAAAUAAUUUACUGUGCUAAAAUAUUCUUUUGCAAAUGAUUAAAUCAUUUUAGUGUGCAUGAGAAAACUGACUUCGGUGGCAAUAGAGUAUCAAACUUCCAGGGGCACAACAAAUGUACCUAUUGCUAUAACAAAAUGUGCAAAGAAUCAUAAAUUAUACCAAGAUUACAAUCACAACUCAGUUCUUAAGCUAUUGCAAAUGAUACUGUAUGCUGUCAAAAACUUAGACUCAUCGUUCCACAAGCCCUUGUCAAGUAUAAAUGACAAAUGAGGGCUGGUGUAACUGUGAGUCUGUCCUGUAUAUCAGUAGCAAUCCUCUCUUCAUCCUUUUUUGCUUUCUCUAUGUAGCUAAGCCUCAUUUUUUGUUUUGUGAGGUAAUGUGAACCCACUAAACCACUCUUAGUCGAUGGCAAUAACUAGAUUCACCUGAUUCAAUAAAAAUAGGAGUACAUUCCUAUAGUCCUAGAAAUUCCCAUGGAGAGGUGCCACCUUGCCUUGUGAAACCACCCAGACCUCAUCCAAGAUUCUAGCUAUUAGAUGCUCAUCAUGACCAACCUGCAAAUCAAGGUGAAAAGAGGGCUAUUAGCUGUGAAAUGAUCCAUCAUUGGUCAAAUUGAAGUAUUUUGACAAGGAAAUCAAUCUCACCAUCAGAAUUAAUCCUUGGAACAAGACCAGACCUUGAAUGAGUGCAGAAUUAAUCCUUGGAAUCNNNNNNNNNNNNNNNNNNNNNNNNNNNNNNNNNNNNNNNNNNNNNNNNNNNNNNNNNNNNNNNNNNNNNNNNNNNNNNNNNNNNNNNNNNNNNNNNNNNNGAAUUGGAAAAAAAAAAAAACAAAACACUAUCAUUAGACAGAACUACAAUUACCAAGAUAAUUCUUUAGUCACUGGUCAUUAAAGCAAACUUAAAGACCAGAUUUACAAACAAAAAGGGGUCCAGAUAUUUGUAUGUAAAGCCCAAUACUGCCUAUAGGCAUAAAGAUCAGUACCAUUUGGUAUUGUAGAUUGCUCUAUUCUGAAUAUUUUCCACAUUGGAACAAUUAGAUUGGUGUCUGUUCCAUUAUUUGCUAGAUGUAUGAUGACGAGGGCUACCAGCAGCUAUGACCACCAUUUGGUUCUACUAUAUUUUUAAUGUAAAACCCAGAUUCCGACAAGUUCAAUUAGUGCAAGAACAAUAACAAGCUAACUGAAAAAGUAAUCAAAGUCAUAAAAUGGAGAAAUAUGAGUAGAACUUACCAAAUGAUAGGAUGGGUCGUCAAGCAAAACUAUGUGAGGUUGCUUGAAAGUUAUCUUGGCAAAUGCAACUUUGCUUUUCUAACCACCUAUUUAUGUGGUCAAAGCACCAUGUUAUAUGUGCAAUAACAUCCAAAAAGCCUUGGAGAAAGUACACAGUGAACCACAAUUCAGAUUACAAAUUAUCUAACUUUUAACAGAGCUUCACAAUGUCAUAAGAACAUUGCUUCAACAAAAAAUUUAUACAUGCAACACUAGCACAGAGAGAGGAGAUAUACCAGGCAAGAUACAAAUUGGUUGAAUCACAAGAUUUCCAGUUACUCCAAAGGAACCCAUGUCAGCUCAAACAUUUUGUUAUGGAACUCCUUUUGGGAAGAAUGCCACAUGGUCACCGCUGAUGAUGGAAACCCGAAGGUAGGCAGCCUAUCAUAACAAUCUCAACCAAACAAGCAUAAGUAUAUUUGCUAAAAAUUUCUAGCAAGCUGUGAGCAACAGUUCCUAAACCACCAGAAUUCGAGACCCAACCAGAAAGCGAUUUAUGGAAUAUCAAUGCUGUCACGUGAAAGCUUGGAGCCAUGAGCUGCCUCGGAAUUUUAUCCCAGAUUGACUGCUUAAUACUACAAAGAAUCAUCAUAAAAAAGGAAGAAGAAGGUUCCUAUUCUUAAGAAAUCCAUAAAAUGAAAAAACCGCAUCCAUUUUCUUCACAAUCACAUCAUAGCUUCCACAAAACUAAUCAUCCUUUUAGAUUUUGAAAAAGAUCUGUUCUUAUUUAGAUCAUAUUCACCAGAAGGAAAAUUCAGAACGUAGCAGUGCAACAAAUAUAUUUAAUUGCUUCUUCCUUUAUUGAUAAAUUGCAAAAGAGAAAAAAAAAAACGAAGCAAGACAAUGACACCAACAGCAUUAGCCCUACCUUAGCAGCGUUCGCACGUGAUCCUUCCAAGAGAUUCUGCCAAUGCAAGAUCACAAUGGUAUCUGCAAAACAAGCAGAGUGAAUGAGCUUAAGGGCCCAAGAAAAAAUAUGUUGGGAAGAGAACAGACAAUAGACGCAGAAAAUGCAGAGGACUAUGAUUGUGGAAUGCUACGAUUCUUCGUGAUGGUGCGAUUUCAUUCACAAAUGGUUUGGGCAUCGAGCAGAAAUGAGGAUAUGUCGUCAACAUAGCAAGAGGCAGCACUGCGAGCGUUUCAUCCUACAGUUCAUCGUCCAACGAAACAGAGCCAAUCCAACCCAACGCAAUCCCCCACCCAAACAUCAGUUCGUAUUGAGCAUCGAAUUGAGAAAGUAGAAUGGAAAAGGAUGCCUUCAAAACCAAAAAUAACUUACUCGGACCCUAAGAAAACUCACUGUAGUGUAGAUGCACGAAUCAAUUCACCGGAUGUGAACGUGAGGGAUCUCUUCGAUGAGGGGCCAAUAGUCGCCAGUGAGUUUUGCGCAUCGCUCUUUCAGAAUCUCGCAUCUAGGUAAGUACAAUCGUUGGAGGGAGGGAGGGAAGCCAUCCUCUGGCAAGUACCUCAACUUGGGGCAAUCUGUAAUAAAAAACAAUCGAAGAGAGGAGAGAUGGUUGCAGAGACCGCUCGAUAGUCUUUCUGUGUUUCUCAAACCAUAUAUGAGAAGAGAGGUUAGAGAGGAAGGAAAGAGACUCCAAGCAUCCUUAUCCUCCGAAGGAAACCACUCCUUCUCUCUCUCCCCUUCCAUGUUAAAAUCAAUGGUCAGACUCUCGAGAGAUGUGAACAGGUGUAAGCCCCACUCUCUCACUGGCUGCUUCAGAGCCACGGGCACCAUAAUUCCAAGGUCUCGCAAUUUGGGAGGCAGACCUCCUUUGGGGAAGAAUUUGAUAUUUUGGCAAUAGAAAAUUCUUAGCUCUUGGAGGGAGGUAAGAUGAUGCCACUUAUUUGGCAGGGACUUUAUCAUCGGACAAUCCCAAAGUUCAAGACUCUGCAAGGUGAUGGGAAGGGGUGGGAAGUCCUCUAUCUCCAAUACCAGACACUGCCAUAUUUUCAAUUUAGUGAGAUUGUUACACUUGGCAAUGUUACAGUUGGCAAUAGACUUUAUCUUAGAACAAUGAUUAAGAGCAAGACUCGAGAGGGUUACGGGAAGGGGAGGGAAGUCCUCUAUCUCCAAUGCUGGACAAUUAUCAAUAUCCAAUCGAGUGAGAUGGGAGAGCGUGUGAAGGCACUGUGGUAAGCUUCCCAAAUUUUGACAAUUGUUAAUUGUCAUUGUUUCAAGCGAUUCUACGGCAAUCCCUUCCAAUGACUCCACUCCCUCACAAUUGUCUAUAUGAAGUGCCUUCAGAGGAGCAAGUCUACCCUUGGCAAAUGAAAAGGAUAUCGGAGAAUCACAGCAACAUAUCUUAAGAGAUUCAAGUUGAGAAAUCGAAUUAUUGCUACUCGAGUCACCUUGAGGAAUGUUUAGAGCCAUGAUUUUUGGACAAUUUUCAAUCACCAAAUGUUUGAGUGCGUGCAUCUUGCUUGGAAGAUUUUCUAAACUUGUGCAAUCAACCAAUUCCAUCAUUUCAAGAUUACAGGGUAGCUCUAUCUCUCCGUCUCCUGCCACAAAAGAUAUGAAUUGAGGACAAUUCUUUAUUACUAAUUCCUGGAGGCAAGUGAGAUUUUGUGUUUCAUCUCCAUCUUGCCACAAGCAUGUUAGCUUGUCACACAGUCCUAUAUGAAGCUUCCUUAGCUUGCCCAAGCAACUCAUAAACCGAUGAUCAAAGGAAACAAGCUCUAUGAGUUUGUUAAUUUUGAGAACUGUCAAAGAAGUUAGCUUGAACAAGCUCUUUAAGAUCUCCUUACUACAAUCCUCAAGGUAUAACUCAUCGAGAGAUGGAAGACAUAACUCACUGGUUGAGUUAUUCAAUUGUUGGCAUGAAUGAAUUUCAAGCUUUAUAAGAUGAUCAAGUUGACAAGGUAAUGUCUCGACCAGCGAAGGACAG